AUUCACUUUUAUUCUCUCCCUUGUAUUCUUGCCUGGCUUUGGUCUCAUGGACAUUGUGGUUGUUGCUAUGUAUAGCAUUUAUGCCAUAUGGAGCUUGGGGGUGGGGGGCAAAGUCUGACUUCUUGUUCCGUCUGUCAGAGCUGGGUGGCUUUAUGGACCAGUGAAAACUAGCACUAUGUGGUUGUGGAUGUUUUUCCCCUUACGAAGAAGGAGGUGACUUGUCCAUUGGGCCUGAACUUUCCACAUGGAAGUUCCCUGUACGGUGACCCUAUUAGUUGGAAGGUGCUGUGUGCAUUCUUAGUCUGGACUAAGCUCACUGCCUUGAUACCCCAUUGUUCACUUCUUGCCAUUGGCAGUCCAGGAACUCUGGGUCUCCAGAUCUGUCAUUUGAUGAAAAAAAAAUGAAGAAAAAAAAAAGUUGAUUUUCACAUUAUUUUCCAGAAAGGUUUGGGUGGCCAUGCUUCUGGGAAUAUAUUCACUGUGACAGCCUAAGAGCUUGGGAACCGGAGGUACAAACUGUGGUAGAGACUGUGACUUGUGGAUUAUGGGUGAGCUCUGCAAGUGCCAGUUAUUGACCGUGAACUUGAAAUCCCUCUAGCAGUGGAUGACGGGUGAACUGUGCUGCCCAAGGAUCCUCUGAAUGCACCAGCACAGUGUCUGACAAGCAGGAGGAUUCAUAGCCUGACUCAGAAGACACUGGCAUUACUGGGAGGCUCUCAUGUUAUGGCCACCAGUCUCCUUCCCCAUGGCUGGGUUUAAUGCCUACUUAUGCAAUCAAACAGUGCAUGCAGACUGGAAUAAACUGGAAAAUAGGAAACACAUGUCUCUGUGUGCACUUAAGCCCUGAGUUAGGGGAUACAUAUUUAUGUAUGUAUGUGGGUAUAAACACACACACACAUACACACACACACACACACACACACACAGACACUCGCACGAACACACGCACACACGCACCAUGCAUGUAAAUGAGUUUUCAAGGGGCAAGAACAAUGCCUGUACUAUGUGAUGUUCAGUAGAGCAGUGGCUCUGUUUGCUUUCUGAAGGACACACAUGUAUUCCAUCCAUGGUCUCUUCUUGCAGGCUCUUUGGUUUUCUCGUUCACCUAGUCAGCUGACUUGGCUAAAUGUAAGACAGGAAGUGACCUCCCUUUUAAUCUGCAUCCACCUGGAAGAGCCUGUGGCUGGAGGAAAUGUUCAGUCUGGUUGCCAAUCAGAGCUCCACAAGCCAUGGAUCCUCCACGGACCGCCCUGGUUUUUGACAUCCCCCUUCCUGUGUGCAUCACUAUCCUUGCAGCCUUUAAUCCCCGGACUCUAAUGGAUAACUAAAUCCCCAGCCGCCUGGGGAGAUGUUUGUAUCUAAAUAGCUACAUACAACUCCCCCUGCACUUCAGUCAUUCCUUGCACGCGUCGCCCUUAAUACAAUAGAAAUACUGUGUAAAUGCGUUUUCUGUGUUAGAAAUGCCGUGUGUUUUAUGUAUUAGACAUGCUAACCAGAAAGGUCUGUGCAUGCUCAGUGGAGAGAUUUCUUUCCUAGAAUUUCCAAUCUGGAUGUUGUACCCCACAGAGGAGGACCUAACAGGCACCCGUCCAGUGCUCCCCAAGUAGCCAUGUGUCCCCCUCGCCCCAGGACUUCAUUGCUCUUUCAUGCCACCUUUACCAGGUACUGCAGGCAUAUGCUGCUCAGCUCAACAUUAGAUUCUGGAUGGAAGGAGAGACUGGGUCCUGCAGCUGCUGGUGGCUUUGAGGGAGUGGAAUUGAGAUCUGAGGACUCGAUCGCUUUAAGUGUCAGCUGGGCUGCUUUCCUAUUCACAGAUGUCUCCCUAAACCACCAGGCAAUGCCCAUUUUGUGCCAGGAGUCCUGAACCAGAACAGAGAGGUUUCAGGUGUUGUUAACCAGUAUCUGGGAUGGGAACUGUAGGGUCCAGGAUCUGGACAGCACUGGGUUCUGUUUUCAUUGCCCUUUUCUAGCAGAGUUUGGAAAGUCCCUUUCCUUUCUGUGCCUAACUGUCUUCAUCAGUAGACAGGGCUGCCUCUCCUCCCUUGUCCCAGCCUGUCAGGAGAACUGUGAAGACUCAGAGCGAGAUAAUAGUAUAACAGUAUAACGUAUGCAUCCUAGACUUGAGAGCGCUAGAAGACAGAAGGGCCAUAAUAACUGUAAUUCCUUCUGAAGCUUUUGUCUUUACAAUCUCAGCUCCAGAAGGGGGGGGCGGUGCUGGGGGGUGGAAUUUGAAGUUUCAGUGAGCAUUGAGAUAAACUCAUACCAAAACCUCUGCCUCAAGCCAGAGAGCUGCAGCUGCUAAGGCAGGAGCCAUGUUCAACUUGUUGGGUGAUCAUCCUUCUGCAAGGCUUUGGCCAGGCACAAAGGUUGGCACAGAUAGGUGCUCAGACAGUGAUGGCUAACUGAGUAGGUCAGAUCUGUGAAUGGUAUGGGCCAAAGGAUUCAAACAGUGAUCUCAGAGAGGUUUGAGUCUUUUAUUCACUAUCCAUCCAUCAUCCAUCCAUCCAUCCAUCCAUCCAUCCAUCCAUCCAUCCAGUAUCUUUCUUUGGCUGCCUAUGAUAACCUAGCUUUUUGCGCUGAGGACAGAGCAGAGGAUCUGAAGGAUACUUAGCUCUCCUUGAGCCCGACCUUGACACAUUCUGACUGAUUGCCAAAGGCUGAUAUAUAUAUGCGCAACUAUAGUAACCCAGGUUGGAGCGAUAAUCAGCCAUUGCCUUUUCUCUUUGGGCUUGAUCUUUGAUUUUCCUUAAUGACUACAUUAUGUCUUUGUCUUAUUUUGUCAGCCACUCCGGGGGCUUUUUGGAAGUUAGCAGGGUACAAAUUAGAAAAUCAAUAAAUGUGCAAUCAUGGGUGCAUAUACAUAUGCCAUCGGCUCUGCUGGAAUAGAACUCCGCCUCUCAGGAGGCGCAGACAGCCAGUUCCCUGGGGAGGCAGCCUCAGUGUGGAUCCCGAAGCCAACUGGUCUGAGGCCGGCCCUGGGAGACAGCCGCACUUCUGGCUGUUGCUCUCAUUAUUGAGUCUAGAGCCAAACUUCCUCACAUCCAGUGUUCAUCCAGAGGAUAUUUUUAUACAUUCUUUGAGAAUUUCAUGCAUGCCCCUCUUUGAUCACAUCCAGCCCCAACUCUCCCUCUUAAACUGAGCCCAGAUCCUCCUCCUUCACCCAACUUCAAGGAAUUAAGGAAUUUUUUUUAAGUGGGUUAACCUUUCUCGUCGCUAUGACUGACUACCUGACAAGAAGCAACUUGAGGGAAGAAAGACUUUAUUUUGACUUACAGUGUAAAGGGAUACAGUCUGUCAUGACAGGGAAGGUUGGGCGACGGGAAGAAGAGGCUGCUGGUCCCAUUUAGAGGAUUAGGCUAUAAAUACCUCAGUUCCUGAACCACCUCAGUGACUUCCUUCUUCUGGAGAAGCUCUGCCCCCUAAAGGUUCCAUAGCCUUCUGAAACAACAUCACCAUUUGAGGCUAAAAUCUGUGUUUAAAAAUCUGCCUAUGGAAGGAAGACAUUUCACAUUCGAACCACAACACAUAUCUCUUGGAAAGGCAGUGUUGGAACAAGAAGAAAUAUUUAACAUAGAGGUAAAAAAGGGAAGUGGUUACUAUUGACGGCCUAUGCUCUGUUAGUAAUACUUCCGACUAAUGAGGACCAGAAACGAGACUGGAGCCAACUGACCCCAAAGAGGAAAUCUAUCAGAUCCUGUAACUGAGAAGAGUCCAGUAGUAGUAAAGACUUUGGGAACAACUGGAGGCAGGGCCCAGGCGAUGUCAUAGAGACUUCAUGUUGCAUCCCUUGAAACAGUGGGCACAGCUGUGAGUCACAGCAGAAAACUCACAGUGCUCUAAUCUCUCAGCUCUGGGGAACUCUAAGAAUUCUGGUGGAAAAGGACCGAAUGGGCCGCGGUUCCUCAGCUCACUCACAGGGCUGUCUAAACAGAGGAUCACUGCUAAGGUGACAGUGUCCUCUGAUCAACCAGGCAUGGUCACAUGAUCAACCAAGUGUUGUCACACAUUCAUCCCACUUGUUUGGACAACAGGUUCUCCAUAGACGGUGAUCGAAGGAGAAGACACGGUAAGAAAUGCCCCUGGAUAACAACAGGUGCCCACAAGUUUAUCACACAUAUGAGUGCUUCAGUUCCUUGUAAUAACGCUUUAAGAUAACAGAACCAGCUAGCACUGAGUGCCACUCAUUUGGGUGUCCUGACAGCUCUGCUGGGUAGGUGCUGGGGUUUGUACCCUGGUUAGUGUUGUUCUGUGGGAGUGCAUCAAAGGCGAGGCUCAAAGCGGUACAUGAGCUUGCCUGGCAUGGUUCUGGUAGAAGCCACAUCUAACUCUGGAUAACUCAAAUCCAGAGGCCACUUUUCUCCAUUUCCGUGAGCUUGUUCCUAAGUCCGUCACCGUUCCCACUUCAUGGGCAAGUAAAGCUCGGAGCAGUCAAAUUACCUCUGCAUAGCCGUGGUAAGCUGCAGCCCCUCCCCGGCCCCCGUGUUCAGUUCGAAUCUUCACACCAGUCUGAAUGACAAACCAGUGUCAAAUCUGCUUCUACAGCCUGAAAAGUGGAAAAUGUGCUAGUUUUCCAUUCCUGGCAUCAUCAACUUAAAAACAAAAGGCCCCUGUACGCUCAGUUUUGGAGAUCCCAAUCCAUAACAGACCAGCCUCCUUAUUUUGGAUCUAUGGCCGCUCGGCCAGCCAUGUCUGGAGCACACAGAAAAACACAACCUCAUCCUGAGGGGUCAGAGAGAAAGAGGAAGAACCAUGCAUGGAAUGCGGGCUCUGCUGGAUAGUUUUGUGUCAACUCAACACAAGCUAGUAAUUUGGAAGGAGGGAACUUCAACUGAAAAAAAUGCCUCUAAAGAUCCAGCUACAGGGCGUUUUCUUAAUUCUAUAGAUGGGGGAAGACCCAGCCCAUUGUGGGUGGUACCAUCCCUGGGGUGGGGUUGAUAAUGAGUUUUAUAGGAAAGCAGGCUGAGGAAGCUAGUGGAGCAGGCCAGUAAGCAGCAUCCCUCCAUGGCCUCUGGGUCAGCUCCUGCCUCCAGGUUCUGGCUGUUUGAAUUUCUGUCCUGACUUCCAUCCACUGUUGUGAACAGUUCUGUGGAAGGAUAAGCCAAACAAACCCGUUUCUUUCCAACUUGCUUUUUUCUUUCUUCCUUUUUUUUCUUUUUCCUUUUUCCGAGUCCUGGUGUUUCAUUACAGUAGCAACACCUGAACUAAGACAGGAAUCAGGGCCCACCUGUGGUUCUGCUAAGCCCUUAACGUUUUUCUACCGUCACAUACUGCCUGGCCCUCCAGCUAUGGAGAGUUGAAGAUCUCCUCAGUUUUGUCUCAGGGAGACAAUGGACCGUCACAUGUCUCAAUGUUUCUUCCAGGCCUUUGCUGGUCACUGACCUCUGUCUGCUCACAGAUCCAGCACCCUUACACUGCUUAUCUCCCCUCAAGUCUGCUCUUGAGUAUGAGGGACAUGGCUCGGGGAUCCCUCUGCUGUAGUCUACACACUACCAGCAAGGACUCCACCUCAGGUGCUAAGUGUAUCUGAGGUCUUAGCGUCCUGGCAGAAGGACCAGGAGUCGAAACUAUGCAUCUGAUUUGUCUGGGAUUCCUAGUGAGCUGAUGCACGGGGGCGGGGGGGGAGGAGGAGGAGGAGGAGGAGGAGGAGGAAGAGGAGGAGGAGGAAGAGAGAGAAAGAGAGAGAGAGAGAAUAUGCUCAGGACUUGAGCUUAGCCCCUCUGUCUCAGAUCAUCAUCAGAAAAGGAGCUAGUAAUAAGCCAAUGUCUCUGGGGUGUUGUGGGGACAAAUGGACACCAGGAAGCGUUGAAUACGGCAUGUAGUAGUUGCACAGUGAAAGGCUUGCCGUUAACUCUUGCUAGCUAGAGAAUGGAGCAGUGCACCGGCUGUGCUCUGGGGUCAGUGGUGUGAGCUCUUUAGCAUCUAGGAAACAGCCCAGGCUCCAGCGUCCCAAGAGGGCUGGAUAAGCAAUACAUGUAGAUCGGGGAGAUCUGGCUCCUGUUGGUUCUGCUGCUCACAAGUUGCCUUGCCCCUCUGAUCAUGGUUCUAUUAUACAGAGGACGGGGUGACACGGUGGCUUGUUUUACGACCUGGGAGAUACUGAUUUCUCAUUCCUGCACGAACGUUCAGCCUUUGCUUUUACACAGUUGAGGUAGGGUAGGGGUUUCAUCUACCAAAUGCUAAGCAGAUAAUAAUGUCCAAAAUUCUCUCGAAGGAACAUUGGGUAGGAUGAAAGAACGCUUACAAGACCCAAAUUUCCCCAGAUGGGACAGCUUUGGACAGGUUGAGGGGUUGGCCUUGGAGGUUGAGCAGGUUGGGGUUAGGGGGGUACUGCCCAGUUACCUGUCCUGGAUCCAUGUGUACCAUGUUUAUUACUAGGUAAUGGAAGCUAUUCACGCAGUCGCAUGGGGUGACAAGGGCCCUGAUUAUUCUCCUCUGAGUUCACUGAGCUGUUUGACAGUGUUGAAAACACGACACUGAGGUUAAACCCAGUGUCACUCCAAUGGAAUCACAAGAGGCUUGGGAAGUUAAUCCCCAGGCAUCUGAAAACAAUACAGAGAUGUCCAGGGAGCUAACCGGAGUCCCUGUGCUGCCUCUGUGGCAGCUUCUUCUCCUGUCAUGGUGCCAGUCACUAGUAGAUCCAGAAUUCAAAACCAAGCUUCCUUGAUCUCCGGGCUCAGAUUCCUAACCAGACUGUCUGUACUGGGGUUCGGAGAGGUUCAGUAAGGGAAGUGCCAGUUGCCUGGGGGUGGCUUGGUGAGUACUGACUGACUCCUGGGAAUCAUCCAGAGGCUAGCCCUGAGCCCUGCCUGGCUGGCUGACCAGAGCCUGAUCCUCUCUGCAGUACCGUCUGCAGCUCACCAAGCCUUCUGCAACUGCCUUAUUCUUCCAUUUUCUCAUUCAACUUUAAAACACAGCUCCAUGCGGUACGUGUCUCUAUUAAACUCUGCUGUAAAAUAGUGCUGUAAAAGUGAAAAACCCAGUGGAGAAAACAAAAGGCACACUAGCCAGCUUUCCAACAGGGCUCCUACCUGAUGCAGUGAAACAACAGGACCCCAGUGGGAAGCCAGCCUGCUGGGAUGGUGGUCAGGAUGGGGAGGGUGCUGGCAUUGGCUCUUAUCUGGAGCCUUGAACGAAGAGCCCUGGGUGGUCCUUGCGUGCUCUGUUGCCUCUCUGGGGUUCAGUGCCAUGUCUAAAGAGGACUGGAUGAGGUAUUGUCUUUUUGGAUAACCUAUGGCUAUUGAGGUGGGAGUUGCAAGGUCGUGCUCUCCAAGGGCUUGGCCAAGCAGAGCUCACAGACAACCGACAUAAGUUCCCCAACUGCUUCCCCCUUGUAUUGACCCCAAGUUCCACACUGUAGGAAGCAGGGUCUUCUCUUUGGUUUGUGAAACAUUAAGACAUGUUUCCCUAUCACAUGUGUGGAUAGGUCAUGAAUGUGAGUGGGUAUCAUGUCACUCCUGGGUUUUCUAUUUUCCAAGUAUUGACCCCACUUCUACUCCAACUUCUUCUGUGUUCCUGUGUUUCUUGUUCUCGAUCUCUGAACUAAAUUAAGCCAGAACCAGGAGAGUAGACAUGGAGAAUGUGAUGUCCCCUUCCCUGUCUAGGAUUUGCCCAGAUGAACAUAGAAAACCUCACCAUAAUGUUGGAGAGAAGGUUUGAAUUGUCCUGUAGACUAUACCACAUAGUAUUAGAACCAAGCAUUGUUUAGACCAGUGGGUCUCAACCUUCCUAAUGCUACAACCCUUUAAUACGGUUCCUUAUGUCGUGGUGACCCCCAACCAUAAAGUUAUUUUUGUUGCUACUUCAUAACUGUAAUUUUGUUACUGGUAUGACUCAUAAUGUAAAUAUCUGAUAUGCGACCCCUGUGAAAGGGUUGUUUGACAACCUCCGGGGUUGUGACCCCCCAGGUUGAGAACCACUGGUCUGGACUAGCUUCUUGGCAGGGCAUCUAAACUCCUGGGGAUCUUAUUAGAAGUUGGACUCUGGCUCCGUAGGUCUGAGAUGGAACCUGGGAAUCUAAAUUUCAAACAAUGUGCCCUAUGACGGCCCAGAACUAUAAAUUCUACACGGCAAGGGUAGGCUUUCGUUCUUAUCGAACAGAAAAGACACCCUUUAAUGCUGACUCCUGGCUUGUUGGAUCUGGAAUGGACCAGGGUAUUUGACUUUAUAAAUAGGCAUGCUUGGGGAUGCUGAAUGCGGCGUUGGAUGUGGCCAUACCUUAGGAAACACCCAUCUAGGAUAACCCCUGUUUCUUUAUGGAUUUUGGAGGAGAAAUCCUUCGAGCCCCUCCAUUUGGCUACACAGCCUAUACACUUUCCAAUUCCUCAUAAAAGACCUGCAGUGGCUGUGUCCUUGUGCCCAUUACACAGAAGUUGAAACUAAAGCCUAAACAUCUAACCACAAGGAAUAAACCCAGGGUAUUCUAACUUACAAUUCCUGGCUUUAUUUCCCCACCCUGUCAAGUACCUCCGACACACUUUAAAUGGUUUAGGGACUGAGAAAGAGGGGGGAAAAUCACAUAUUGGCAAAAUGUUUGUUCAGUACUUUGAGUGUAUGCAUGCUCAUUUUUGUGGGCAUAUAUGAAUACACGCUCGUAUCAGAGAUUUCCGACGUUAAGACGAAAUUUUAAAAGAUAAGAAUCUAGCAAACAGGUUCGUAAGUAGGCCUUUCUGGACUCCCUACCAUUUACCAGAGGUAGGAGUUAGAUUUUACAUUUUUAAUCCCUUUAGCCCUUUGGGCAAACAAGAAAGUUCUCCAAAGUAUCAGACAAGAGAGCAUUCUGGCAACUGGGAAAUUGUUUGGAAUCUUUUUUUUUUUAAUUUUUUUUUCCCAAAGAGGCAAAGAAAAGCAAGCUGUGAGUUUACAGCGCUUUGGAAUUGCAGAAUAUGCUUGUAACUUUUACAAUUCUGCACAGACUUCUCUGCCACAUCUGGUUGAUAUUACUGGCAGGGGUAUAUGGGAGAAUAAACCACGGGGUGGAAUGUGAGACAUCCCACAGAAUGAGUUUCUUAUAGGUUGCUGCUUAAAACAUUUCGAGUCUCCUUCAUUUUGGAAGGGUGGCUUAAGUGAUUUUGUGGAUUUAGUAUUUUCUUUGGUUGGAAGGUACAGGGUUUUCUUGGUUUGCCUAGUAGGGGGUUCCAAGAUAGUUUUCUGUGGAUGUGUUUGCCACUCUCGGGUCAUGCCAUGGGCUCCAGAGAUAGAAAUGAUCCAAUGGGAAAGCCAGAGUCAAACCUUUGACAAACAGUGCUGGACAGAGGUGGUCCCUUUGAUAGUAAACCCUUGGGAACAGCCAGAUCGCUACAAAAAGUGGAAAACUUUGGGGAAAGGUGUUACCUAAGAGAGGGCUUUGGAAAAGAUCCCGUAUCUUAGCUGCUGCUGACAAACAGCUGAUGAGAAGGAGGACUUGUUUCCUGGUUCACACGGGGUGGGGGGAAGUCUCUGUAACCCAAUACGUUCUCUGUAUAUGUAUACGGGUAUGUGUUUGCAUAUGCAUAUGAGUGGUGGGGGAGAGGAGAGAUGAUACCUUGCUGUACUCGGGAUUGUCAGUUCCUCGUGACAUUUCUGCCCAGUCCACAGGGAUAAGACUGUAUGACUAGAAACAGCUAGAAUAUUCCGGUUACCUACUGAGUGUGUAUGUGUGUGUGUGUGUGUGUGUGUGUGUGUGUGUGUGUGUGUGUGUGUGUGUUGUUUCCCUGUGCUGUUGGGGUGCCUAGAACCAAGAACUGUCUAAUCAACCCAGAGGGUGUGAAUUUGGGCUUCUUGCCACCUGGCUCUUUCUCAGGCUUCCUUGGCUGAGACCCACCUUCAGAGUUGGAACCCUGACAGCCAAGCGCUCGGUGCACAAUACCAGGGCGGCUCAGCACCCUGCAGCACACGGCGGAGUUGGCCAACUUAGACAGGGAUUUAUGGCCAUUCCCAAGAAUGUGCAGAUAAAGAGUGUGGUAUUCGUUACACAUGAGAACCCAGAGCCAACUUUCACACACAUCACGGCGUCCUCAUGGUCCGUAAGAGAUAGACAUCGCCUAGGGACUCAAUCAUUAUGAGGCUACUGCCUUCUACAUAGAAAAAUAACCUUUGUAGGUGGGCAGACCCCAAACACGCGUUCUUGCAUUAUCUGAAUGAUACAAAUAUAUCCAUAUUCAACAAUGCUGAAAUAGAGUUCUAAAACUACAUUCAGCACCACUAUCAAACAUUUCUAAAUAUUUGUAGCACAAUCAUCUCUCGUUUUUAACCUGCGUUUGGGGAUCUCCCUCGGGAACAAAUAGAGUUUUAAUUUGAUAUGCCAGACUCUAGAAUAAAUUCAAGCUAUAAACACACACACACACACACACACACACACACACACACACACACAACACCCCUGUAACUUUCCUUUCUCCUGGCUUUCCUAGGGGAUCACGUCCCUAGAUUUGAGCAUUAGAAUCCAUUCUUAAGGUUUACAGUUCAUUUACAAGCCUUGGAGAUUGAGGCCCGGAACGAACGUGUUGAUCUAAUAUUAAAAACAGCAAAACUGUGAUAACACAGCACUGUCCAAAGCAAACAGAAAUAGAGACAUUUAAGUAAAUUUUACAUUCCUUGCCUGGGUUAGAUGUGCAGGGCCUGCGAUUUUGACUCAUGGUUUAGAAUAAUAUUUUACUGUGUAAUUCAUGAUGUGUUGUCCCCGCCCCCCGUAGUUGCUCUGUAGCUCUUCCUUACCUUGUGUGUGGUAAUGAAGUCUGCUUGGAAGUGUGGCCUCCCCUUGAUUGGCACUACCUGUUGUGUAGCCAAGAGUUCUCCCUGGUUGUAGAGGUGGGACAUCCUGCCAGGGAACCAAUGGUUUUGCUUCUACUGUGUGUCUAGAGCUCUGGACCUGAUUUUUUUUUUUAACUUGACGAGUCAGGUUUUGAUGGAAAUAGACACAAAAUAGACAUUUCCCUGAGCAGGGAAACACCUCAGCCUUUCGAAGACCAUGAAGCCACUAUGGGGGAUGGAGGGGGGGAAGCCAUUUCUAGGAAGUGAGCUAGAACUGAUUUCCCCUCAUCUCAGUCAGGUGCAGCGGACACCACGCUGCGAACCAAAGUGUUGAGGGAAAUCUAACUUCAGUAAAUGUUUAAAACUGAUGACCUGCGGUAUCAGUAUCGAAAUCUGGGCCACAAAGUUUUAUCUUUUAAUUUCACAAUAACCCAGUCUUGCCAUCAUUCUCUCUGCUGCCUACUCCUUUUCAAAAUUGCAUGGUUGGGGCCAGAGAGAUGGCUCAGUGGUUGAGAGCACUGGUUGCUCUGUGUCCAGUUCCUAGCACUCACGGAGCAGUUUGUAACUUUCUAUUAAGUCCACUUUCAGGGAACCGACGCCUCCUGUCUUCUGCAGGAUCCUGCAUGUACAUGGUACACAUAAUACAUGCAUGCAAAGUGUCCAGACACAAUUUUAAAAAAUCUUUAAAAAUUCAUGUAUGCUUGGCAUCUAUACAUGUCAUGUAGCACCAUGUGCAUGCAUCUAAUACACCAUAUAAUCCAUACACAUGUCAUGCUCUGCCACACACAGUCAUAUCACAACACACAUGUAAUUGUACCAUAGCAAACUUCACUACAUACUACACCACACACACAUACCACACACACACCCUUCCUCACAAUAUUCUCACAUAGCUAUUAUGCCAUAGUCAUACAUUAUAGCAUACCACACAGAUACAUGUAUCAUGCCAUGCCCAUUCACAUAGAAUAACAUAAACACAGACCGCAUACCUAUGUGCUAGAGCACACCGAUAGAAUAAUACACACACACACACACACAUACACACUCUCUCUCUCUCAGACACACACUCUCUGUCUCUCACACACUCUCUCUCUCUCUCUCUCUCUCUCUCUCACACACACACACACACACACACACACAUACACACAUACACACUGUACUAUGCCUGUGUACAUGUCAUACCAUGUCACGCACAUAUCUGUGUCAUAGUACACAAGAUACAGGCAGGAAAAAACAAAAACCCCAAAACCCUUUCUAGGCUCUGAACCCCAAUAUAGGUAUAGUUUUGCUUUAGUGAGGGCCUUGGUAAGGCAGCUCCAAUGACUGAGUAAUGCUAUGCUGGGUGCUGUGAUACUGGGGUUGUGAAGGCAGUAGCCGAUGGUGGGGAUGCACCGUCUCCUUGGCUUAUAAUUGGUGUCUGUGGCGCAUGGUGUUGCUAUGAUGAGUCUGUAUCAGAGACAAUGAGUCGUCGCUGCAAAUGUUUCCCGGUCUCUGGAGAAAUCCUCGCUUUUGUUUCCUGCAAGAGACUUGCCUGGGUCAGGCUUCUCUCUGAGACCUUCAGGGACUUCAGUUCUUUCUUAAGAACCCAGGACAAAGCACCGUCAGCCGCCAGAUCCUUAGGGCUCAAGCACCGAACGAAAUUACCUUAGGAAAUAGUCAUUAUCGAGUUCACUGCUGAUGGCGCUCUCUGCAGACCCUCAUCCAUUUGCAGAGCACUUCCUUUAUUGAAAUGGGAGUGAAGGAUGGGGAUUCAUUAGGUCUAAUGAGACCGGAAAGCAGCAGGCAGAGACAGGGCUUCCCUGGGAGCACGUGACCCCCACCACCCACCCUUCCCCCUGUGUCCCUGGCCCUGUGGACGGACACUGGCAAGAAGGUCAGGAGACUGUCAGUUCUGCUCUCUGCCUGUGUUCCCAAUUGUGGAACACCUUCUGUCUUGGCUCCAUCACCCCAGGAGUAGGCUUGCCCUUUCUCUGGGAGAUGCUUACCAACGGCCUCCUCAGCAGCUAACCUGCUGCUUCUCCUUUGCCAUCGCCGGUCAUCAUCAUUUUGAGUGAAAUCAGACCUCCUCAUAUGCACAAAUUAAACCUUCGAGUAACGACGGCUGGUCCUGCCAACUCCAAUACCCUACCAUCCAGUUCCUGCCCCUCUUUUGGUGGCACCUCAGGCCGCUGCUCCCUACUUCACUGUUGUCCCAUGGGACUUCCUCCUGUCAUUAGGAUGGCUCAGCCUGUUCUUGGAAUAUGCAGAUUCCAGAUGUCAGCAGGGCCCUGGCUCCAACUUUCCUUCCUGAGAAAUCCCUUCUGGCCCCUCUGUGUGUGGUGUAUGGCGAUCUCCCCCCUUACUGGUCACAGUCUGCAGGUUGACCCUGUUUUGUUUUCUUUAGAGCACUUGCUGCCACCUGGAUUCUCUAGCUCAUUUGUUUGAUGACUUGUUUACUUUCUGCUCUGUCACCUGUAAUGGGAGGUAGGCAUCUUGGGGGCCUGGAUGCUGUUUGUCUUAUUAACUCUGAAUCAUCCACGCUGGCAUCUAGCACAUGGUGGCUAUUAGAGGAAAACUCUCAAAGUGAGAUAAGAAUAAUAGUAAGAGAAACCCAGUCUCUUCAAAGGUGACUUCUUCUUCUCAACGGUGGGGUCAGAGGUACUUUCUGUUGCAAAUUCCAUCUCUCUCUUCCUUGUUCCGGAAUGCCCCAGAAGACUCAUUAAGAACAUGUAUGUACCAGUGUGCCUACGAAUGCUCACACACAGAGAGAACCGUGUCUUACAUGCUUGUAAGCAACACACAGGGAGAGGAUAAGGUCACGGCAGGCAGGAUUUCACGCUUGGGCAGUGGGUACCCCUCCCCCCCACCCCCGCAGAGAGAAAUGGCCCUGGGAGGCUCCCCAUCUAGUAGAUAUGAGCCAGUGCGCAACACUCGGAGCCAAGGAGAGGAGCGCUGGUUUUGAUGAUUAUUUCAAAGGUCUGGGAAUAAUAUUCUCCGAUAAAAUGAAAUGGAAAGAUAAACUGUUGGCUUCAUCUCCAGGCCUCGUUGAUUUUUGACUUCUAGUGGGCACUGAAAGAGAUCGUCCAGUUACUGGAAGCCUCUGCUCAGAGAAGGCUUAAAAAUAAAGGACCAAGAGGGAUUCACACUAAAAUCAAACUUGAUUCGGAGGGGAGAAAAAGAAGAAAGAAAAAGGAGGGAAAGGACGGAGAAAAGGCUAGAUCACGCCAAUGUACUAAACACUGGCCUAAACUUCCAAAUUACUUUUCUCUUGAUCUGGGAUCUAAACCAGAGGUGGUUUGAAAGACAUCUGGUGAAUGAGUCCAAAGCUGAAAUGAACCAUAUCUUCUAAACCAAUCAAACGGGAACCACUCCGGGACAUCAAAAUAUGAAUGUUUUCCAAACCGACUCUCUCUGAAGCUCUACAGCAGUGCUGUGUAAUCAGGAGCGCCAACCUAUCGUUUGUUGUUCUUCUGUUUCUCCUUCCAGGAAACCCACCAACGUGCAGCAUCUCCCACACCACACUACAGAACGUGGGCUCUUGGGACCCUCUUCAUUGUCCCAUGUCGGUGGGAGGUGCCCCUGUUGUGGGUAGCCCGAUGUCAUUGCCGCCUCUAAUCCCAUGUAAUGAAGGAGGAGAUGACUGUCCGUGGAGGCUGAGAUCGUUUAAAGAAUAGGCGAAACAAAGGAAGAGAAUUUGGAGGAGGGCAAAAGGAAAGGGAGGAUCCUCCCAAGGCCAGUGAAAGCAUUUCUGAUCACACACGGGCUCAGUUCUGAGUUAUUCUCUGCAUGAGACCUUGUCUCCUCCAUGACAGCUCUGGUAUUUAUCAUCCUAGAAUGCCAGAACUCAUUGAUGCCCUCUGUAACUUUAGACCCCUGUUCUCUUUCCACUGUUGGAAAACUGAGUCAUACAGCAAAAAGGGACCCCACAUCUCUACCUCUCAGAUUUCUGGUCUUGAGCACAGCCUACCUUAGCCAUGAUUUCUCAGGAAGUAAUGGGAAAACCAUGGAAGAGGCCUAUUAGCUUAGGACAUGGAGGAUUGACGUGUGCCCGGUCUGGGCUGCCCAGAGUAGCAACUGUCUUUUAAGAAAAGAAAUGUGCAUUCAGACACUUCAUCUACCAAUGCCUGAGUCAUGUACUUCUCAGGCACCAUCACCCCUGAGAAAUAUGUCGUCUGUGGUCUUUAUUAAUCAUUUAAUUAUCUGCAGAUGCAAAAAAAAAAGACUUGCUGGAGAAACCAAGGAUUUGUACCCAUAAAGGGUUUCUCCAUGGUCCUAUGGAAGCAUAUUGGUCAUGUCAUGACAUACUUCAGGCAGGGAACUGAAAGGGUAGACCUCACUGGAGAGCCAGUUCAAGGAAAAGAGUCUGCAAGUUAGGUGAUCAGAAAGAGGAAUGGAGGCCAGCUCCCUGACCCCACACUCUUUCUUCAUGCUAAAAGAAUGGUGGCACCAUCUAAAGACAUGCUGGGACCACCCAUGAUGGGAAGAGGAGGAGAGGUCUGCUUAGAGUAAGUGAGGGAGGAGACCACUUCCCACAGCUAGCACUUCCCACUUCUAGGUCCAGACACAUGGGGAAAGCCAGCCCCAGGAAUCUCCAUAGCAAAUGGGAGUCCCUACCAGAAGCAUCCCCUUCCUAUACUAGCUGGUUGCUUCUGCUUUCUAAGGGAUUCCUGCUAUUUAAAAAAUACUUCCCAGCCUAUGACUCGUGAAGAACUGACCAGGUUUUCCUGGUGGGCAGGCUCACUGGUGUGCCCCAGCCCCACUCACAGGGCCAUAUAUAACCCACUUACCUGCAGCUAAUUAGCCAGGCCUCAGUGUGGAGUCCCAAAUUGCUAUGUUAAUGAUGGCAGCCCUCCCUCCCUCCCCAAGAAGUGCUGAUUUUCCUUCUCAGCAUGAGGGACUUCAAUAAGAUCUCUUUCCAGUGAUAUAAUUUGAUUCCUCCAUAGGAAGCUGCUUUGGCCCUACCUCACUUAACACUAAAUCUUUCCAUAGAUACUCUCAUUACUUAAUCUUUGCAGGCCCUGGACCAGCCCAGGCCUCUUAUUUAUUUAUCUGGGGCCCUGUUUAUUUCCCUAUUGUAAAUUACUCCUGGCUCCUGGAGGUCUGAUUGCCUCAGUGAUAGGCUAAUAGCUGGGAGCUUCUGCACAUGCCUUGUGUGAUGAGGGAAAUAAUACUUAGCUUAUGGGAGAGAAAGACACCCUCCAUUUAUUUCAGUGGGGGGAAUAUUACUCAGAGGAAAGGGUCAAAUCACUUACCUCAUAGCUGCUAGUGGAAGUCAGUGUAAUCACUGACAGAAUUGCUUGAAACAAAUCGUCCCGCCUAUAAAUCAGAUUCUCUGGUUCUCUGAGGCAGAAGGGGAGUUCUGUUGGUUUGAACCAGCUCUGCCUCUCACAUGGGGUGGGUUUCUAGAAUAGUGUGUGUGGACAGGAGGUUGGCUGAAGGAGUGUGCCCUUCGCCAACUCUGAACCCUUACUAAAAAUGAGCAAAUAUCAUUCGAAGGCCUGUCUAGCGACUUGCGACCUGUGAUUGGAAAGCACAAUUUAUUGGAGCAUGGUCAGUCAUUUACAUAUUUGCAGUGGUCUAUCUGUAGAUAGGGCGCGGUUCUGACAGAGAGUGUGUAGUCGCUGAGGCACAAAUCGUUACAAUCCAUGUGUGAGUUGAUGGACCCUACUCUACCGAUAAAGUCUUGGUAGUUCUUUGGUAUUGUGAUGAAGAGAGAGAUACAUAUGGGUCACUCCUCUUCUUCCAGAAGAUUCCUUGUCGAAGAACCUGGAAGGUCCCUCAUCUCGUCACUGUAAUAUCCUCUUGCUGUGGUGUCUCUCAGCCCCAGACCAGGUGGCUUAGUGGGUACCAUGAACCCAUUUGACAGAAGAGAAAAGUAGAGGUUCCGCUUCCUCAUUCCGACCUGGGAUUCAUAGCUCGUCUAGCUCUGAAUUCUAUCUUAUUUCAUCAGAAUCUUCUGUUUCCCUGGGAAAACCAAGAGAACAGGCUUUGGCAGUAGGGGAGAAUUGAUCCAUACUUGGCCUCUCUGCAGGAGAGCUGAUGAAAGGGGGCCCAUGAGCAGCCAAGUCGGAGGAGACCAGCGAGAGAAGAAAUGAAAGGAUCUUAUUUUAUUCAAUCCACACUCACUCUGGGGCGGAAAGUGGCGCAGGCCCAAGAGUAUGUUUAUCAGUGUUGGGAAACACAACAAGGGCUUGUCACGAGAAAGGGGGAAGACGAAGAGAAGGCCUGGAUGGUAGGGAGGGAGCGUAUUCAUGGCUUUCCUAGGCCGUGUGGUAUGGUCAGCUGAAGUAAGAAUGUGGUCCAUGUCACUUCCUUGUGAGCUCUGCGGCUGAUGUGGUGGGUGGACCGUGGCUCUGAUACCCUUAGAAACACUUCUCUAGGCUUAGGUGAGAGGGGAGCAAAAAGGAUUCUCUUAGUUUGUCCACAAGCUCGUGGGAGUCACUGUGGUGUCUGUAGCAACUGUACACAGAGUUUGUGAGAUGAGAGCCUGGGAGGACAGGAGAGUAUGAUGAAAACCAUAGUAAAACAACAACAACAACAACAACAAUAAUAAUAAUAACCACCACACAAUCAAAACCACUGCACUAUGCCUCCCAUAAGCACCAGGGGUUAUUCUUAACAUCAUAGUCUGCAGAAUCUCUUCGGUGCUCCUGUCUCUUGUAAGGUGGUUAUUUCUGUUUUAUUUCAUUGGGAAGGAAGUGAGGUCCUAGAAUGAUAAUUUGCUCAAGCUAGUAGGCACAUGAUGGAGCCAACAUGGCUGACUCCUUGGCUGCUUGCCUGCUGGGGGCAGAAGGUAGGGAGAGCGACAAACAUGUGGUCACAUUACCUUCCCUCUGCUAUGAGAGCUCAGGAUUUGGCUCUUAAAGGCCACAGUGUAAAUGUAUAUAGAGUCAGGCAGAGAUGGGGAGACACUCAAGGGUGAUGAUAUAUUUAAGCUUAGCUGUUGUCUGGCUUGCAGUAAGAGCUCAGUAGGCCCCCACCCACUUUGUCCCCUCCUUUCUUGCCAGCAACGAUAAGAUCAUAAGACACAAGUCCAGGUGCUGGGCUGUGCUGAGCUGUGCUGCAGGUAGAAGGCCAACCUCGGCUGCCUUCCUGUAGCCCAUACAGCGGGCAGAGAAAAAAACCCAAGCAAAGCCGGAUGCAGAAGACCUGCCGGUGUCCCACUCGUUCUAGGGGAAUUGAAUUCUGCCAAUUCAACUCUCCUCUGCUGAACUUCAGUUCAGGAGUGCUAGGCAACCCUGGGAAAGUUUCUGCUACCUCCGAGCUCCAGUGCAAAGGCAUAAGCAUGUGAACAAGCCACGGUACAGACUUGCCCUCUCCCCCUCCCUUCUCCUAGACACACACUCACCUAUUCUGUCCAUGCCGCUCCAUGAUCUGGCUACUGACCACCCUCCCUACUUGGAAUGCCCAGCCUUCUUGCUCCAGACAUAGCCAAGCCGAGCAACAGAGCUGUGUGGAUUUUAAAGAGUGAGACUUGUCUGUGAUAGAGUUACUGCAAACCCGGAUGAUAGAGUUACUGCAAACCCGAACGGCAGUAAUCCUUACAAAGCACUUGGCACCGUGCCUAGCGCUCAGCAAAUGUUAGCUGCGCUUACACAACUCUUGGGGCUCAAAGCCUCCCAUUCAGAGAAGGGACACACUGGGGCUACCUCACUUGACAGAGAUCCUUGCUUCCGUCUGUCCAUGGAAUUCUUCAGUGUGGUCAUCAGAACCGCAUUGGUGACACCUUCUUGGUAGUUUUGGUAUUAUUUCAUGACAUCGCCGUGCAUCUUUGCUGUUACUAAAUGUGAUGUUUCCUGUGUGUCUGUAUUCUUCUCCCAACAACAGAGUACAUAACUGUGCUGUGUCCUGGGCAGGUUUCGUACAGAGUAGCCAGUAGCCAGCCUGUUUAGGAGCUGCCUGACUGGGUAAAGCAAGGGGUUUAGAAGAAUUCAGACACUUGUAGUUCUCGUCUCUUGUCCAUUUAUUUGUUUGGUUUUCUCCUUUUCAAGUGCAUGCAUGUGUGGUACGCAUGAAUGUGUGUUUGCAUGUUUGUACGUGUGUGGAUGAACAUGUGUGCACAGGUGCAUGUCUCUGCAAAUGUGUGUGUAUGUGUGUGUGUGUGUAGGUACGUAGGCCUGAGGUUGAUAUCAGGAAUCUUUCAUCUCUGUUUUACCUUAUUCUUUGAGACAGUGGCUCUUAGUCAAGCCCAGAGCUCACUGAUAUAACCAGUUUCACUAGCCACAUUGCCCUGGGGAUCCUUUCUCUCUUCCUUCUAAGGCUCGAAUUUCAGAUGGGCCUCCAUGCUCCUCACCUGGUAUUCACUCAGAUGCUGAGGAUCCCAACUCUUGCUUUCAGGACAAGGUUUUAAGCCACUAAGCCAGUCCCUGCCCUAAGGAAAGAUUAUAUGGGGCAAUACCAAGGUGAAAUCCUGCUUCCAGAGGUAUUGCAUUUGACCUUCACAGUCUUUUAAGAAAUGAAUCGACUCUAUUUAAAACUAGAGUUGACGGAACAGUUCAAGUUUCUUGCCUCACCCAAUGCCCCAGUGGUAACAUCUCAGAGCUACAUCCCGGCACCCUUUCACAGGACAACCCCUAGUGUUCCCACUGCCCACAGACACCCUUCUUGGUUACCUUGUAUUACUUGAGGACUUUAUAUCUAGGGACACUUCUUUGUCUUCCAGUGAUGUCCCAGUGAUCAGUUCCACAGGGCAGGGCCAUGGCUGCUUAGGAGGAGAAACAGGAGCCUCGUGGACUCUGAUCCCCUGGGCUGGCUUUAGAAACCAAGUAUCUGAUAGGGCUUGGGCAAUGUCUGCUGUCCUUCUACCCUUGAAAAGUAGGCAGGCAUUAUGUCCCCCCUCCUAAAGAACAGGGUGCACAACAAUAUAAAUAGUUCACGUGCUCCGACGGAACCUCAGAGCCUUUGGAUUAGUGGUAGAGAGAACAUGAGUUAUCCCUAGAUUGGAGUCUGUGUGAUCUGCUCAGCUGCAAAGAACAUUCUCCAUUUCCAUUCCUGCUAAGCCAAAGCUGUCAUUUGGGUACAGGUGUAGAGGAGUGUAGAGAAGGCCUCAUGCCAGCAUCCCCCACUCAUCUCAGGAUGCCCAGUGCCAGGAGGAACUAUCCUCUCUGGGGAAGGGACCCUUCAGCACCCUGCUCAGACCACAGUAAGGCAGGCCUUCUGUGGAGGCUGAAGUUACCACUAUCACUGUGCCUCAUGGUCAAGGUCAGCCUUGAUAUCCCUCUGCCCAGAGUCAAUGGAGAAAUGGUGGGAAUCUGCUUUUACCUGAAACAUCUACUUUAUUUCAGGGUAUUUUUUUUUUUGUGGCCUAGAAUCUUCUCCAAGUUUAGGUCCUCUGGUCUCCAGAUCUUAGUAUCGUUAUUGAUUUUGGGGUGUGCUACCAGCCGAACCAGCAGUGGUUCUCUGGCAGGGACCCGUUUGUGAUAAAGACUUGCCAGCAAUCUCCUCUUGGGUGAACUAAAUCAUAGAAACGUCUGCCUUUCUCUCUAACUUGACGUCUCGAGAUCCACUAGGCCCAAGACAUUCUCUUAUGGGAUGGUCAAGAGCAGCUAGCUAAUGCAUUUUCUUCUAGUUGUGUCACAGAAAGUGAUUCCAUUAUUUCAGGAAAAAAAUGUGUGUUUUCAUGCAGUGUAUACUUGGAUGCCCACUGCAGGAUGAUAGAUGACUCUUAACGAGUCCUUUGAGAUUGUCCAGAUUGGAUUAUGUAAUGGUGCCCAGGGUAAAAAUGUUGCAAGGGUUUUGAGUCACAGCCAAGUUCAAAGAGGCUUUGAGACAUGGUAUGCUGAGACCCAUGGUAACAAGUCCUAGAUAUUGUCACCUCUGGUGUGACUCAUGCAUCUACUGUACAGAUGAGGUACCUGCAGAGAAAGGACAGUCAGCACAGCACUUUUAAUCAGCAUGGCACUAUCUGUGUAACUUAGGAAUCUGUGCUCAUUGAGGUCACAGAGCUUGAAAGAAAUCUCUCUGUCUCUAUCUCUGUGUCUCUGUGUCUGUGUCUCUCUGUCUCUCUGUGUCUCUCUGUCUCUCUGUGUCUCUCUGUGUCUCUCUGUCUCUCUCUCUCUCUCUCUCUGUGUGUGUGUGUGUGUGUGUGUGUGUGUGUGUGUGUGUGUGUGUGUGUGUGUAGGGGCAUUUCCUUCUAGACAGGGUUUCUCUGAAUAUCCCUGGUUGUCCUGGAACUUACUCUGUAGACCAUGCUGGCCUUGAACUCAGAGAUCUGCCUGCCUCUACCUCCUAACUGCUGGGUUUAAAAGCAUACACCACCCCACCUGGCUUGCUUGAAAGGAAUCUUAAGUCAAAGACCCAUCAGCAGAUUCCUAGGUGUCAUGGUGAAGAAAAGGAGACAGUACAAAGUGGUCCCAAGUUCUCUGUGGCACAGAAUCUUGGGAUGGCGGUCCCAACAUCAGGGAUCAAGAAGCAUCUACAGUUUGCAUUUCUAUUUCCCGCUAUUAUCCCUGAAGGGUCAGGGAGCCAGGCUUUGGCCAUUUGAUGAUAGCUGAGGGCUUGAACGGGAUGAUGAGAGACUAUGGUUUAAGCUCAUUGGCUAGUAUUCUUUGUGGUGCUAUCCCUAAAUCUCUGGGACUGAAUCCUUUUGAUAGGAUGAAGGCUUGGUUAGCUCACAGUUCUCUAGGCUGUGUGGUCCAAAUGCAUUCUGCUGGUAUCUGGUGAGGGGUCAUGGGACUUCUUCUUUGACCAUAACGUCAGAAGAUGUCAUGGGGCCAGACAGAACAAGUAUUUUAACUAUUCUUUAUUGCUGUGAAGAGACACUAUGACCAAGGCACUUUGAAGAAGGAAGAGUUUAUUGGGGGAAGGGUGCUUAUAUGUUCAGAGAGUGAGUCCAGGAUCACCGUGGGAGGGAGGCAGGCCUGACACCAGGGCAUCAUCUGAGACACGACAUCUUGAGACACAAUUAUGAGGCAGAGAAAGAGAGACUUCUGAAACCUCAGAGUAUCUGUCCCAGUGAUAUGCCUCCUCCAACAAGGCCACAUCUCCUAAUCUGUCCCAAAUGGUUUCAUCAACUAAGGACCAAACCUAUAAACCUAUGGGGGCCAUUCUCACUCAAACCACCAGAGCAAGUCAAACACCAGGUGCUUUCUUCCUCUCCUGUCUUCUUUUAACUUUUUCUUUUUGCAGGCCCAGAAUUUACUCUGUAGUCCAAGGGGCUCUGAACUCAGGGCAAUUCUCCUGUCCCAGCCUACCCAUUGCUGAAGUUCCAUGUGUGUUUCACCAUACUCUGUGUCUUCCUCAUCUGAUAAGGCCAUCACUAGGCCUCCACCAUUAUGGCCACAGUUUAAUCUGAAUUAGUACCGUUCAAAGGCCCUGCCUCCCAACAGCAUCAAAAGGUCAGGUUGAGGGUCACAUUUAUAGUACUUUCAGGUAACACAUGCAAACCCACGGCAACAGUAAAAAGCAGGCCUGGGUUUGAACCCUGAUCUGACCAUUUUGAGUCUUGGCCAACUUUCCCCGUUUUCUGUGUUUGGUUUUGUUUUCAGGUAGGAUCCUAGCACCUGCCUCGUAGAGCUGUUGCGUGUAGAGCUCAUAGCCCCACAUAGCAGUUAAUUAACGCGGGCUCCGUAAACGUUUGCUAUUUUUAUCGACUGGCUGGUGGAGAGCAGUUUCCCUCUGUCAGAAGUCUCCAAGGCACAGAAAUUUAAAACCAAAUUAUUGAGCAGUCCCUGUGUGCUGUCUCGAAACAAUAGAAAGCAGGGCUGCCGAAUAUUUAUUAUUUUCUAAGAAGUUAUUUUUCACCUUAUUAAAAAUUAUUUUGGCGUGCAGGUUUGGAAAUGAGCGGUUUCCAAAGGCAUGUAUGUAACUGCUUUCCAGAGACUUCUUGUUAGGCCAGAGUUGUAGGAAGGGGUGACCUGUGCUUGGGAUGAGAGGCCCGGGAAGACAUGAGGGAUUGAAUCCUGGGAUGUAGGGCAAAGGCUCUCUGCUGGAGAGGAUGGUGAACCCCUGUGGGAAACUCUGUCAGUCUCAUUGUUGUUCUCAUAACCAAGAACAGAACACUGCAACUCAGUCUCCAGGGUCGGGUGUGAGGCCAGGAAGUAGGGCGACAGGUGAUUUGAGUGGGAUGGGCCCUGGGUCGGGCCACUUCCUAGUGUUCACCACCCUCUGCUACUUCUUCUCCUUGGCUUAUCUCUAGCUGUAUUCACACAGACCUACUCAAGAGGGAGUUGGCUGACCCUUGGGGCAGCAGGACAAUAUACUAGAAGUUAGCCUGCCUGGGUUUGAGUUCUCUGCUGCUUGGGUAGAUUAUUCAAGGCCCUGCUGUUUUAAUCUGUGCAGUGGACACAUUGAUAGCUAGCUAGGACGACGACAUGGGGUACUUUCUGUAGCAUAUUGUAGCACAGCCUGGGACCAAGCAAGCCUCAGGCUUGGUUGUGUGGAAAGGCUCUUGAGAGAAUGUUCCAGAUUCUCCAUGAGACCGAGAGCACACAGAUACCUUCUUGGAGAGGAAGACACACCUCCCCCCCCCCCUCUGUGUGUCUGUCUCUGUCUCUGUCUCUCUGUCUCUGUCUCUGUCUCUCUCUGUCUCUCUGUCUCUCUGUCUCUCUCUCUGUCUCUCUGUCUCUCUGUCUGUCUCUCUCUCUCUCUCUCUCUCUCUCUCUCUCUCUCUCUCUCUCUCUCUCUCUCUGUGUCUCUCUCUUUAAAGCAACCUUGAGCUUUUGGUAGUUACAGAAUAAACCAGAAACUAGGAACAAAUCGAUAAGGCCAGGGAGCUACUAGAGUAAGGCCUCACAAAGCAACAGCGUUACCGGGGCCAGCUGAUGAGUGCUACCAGUUACUUUAACAAAGCCAGAAAGUUCCUGCCAGUGAGGCGAUGGCUGCCAGGAGAGGGGCUUUCUUCAGUCAACACCUGCCUUCUGAGGCACUGCUCAGUGUAAGGCCCCGAUAGACCAUUCCGAUCUAGGUCUGAGGAUGGGAGUGGAUCAAAGCAAACGGUCUGUCUGGUGGGAUUCUUAAUGGGGGAGGCGUAUGGAUGAGAAAUGGUGAACCACGAGGUUGCUAAGAUGUGCAUGGAUCUAUGUACCCUGCAGGAUGAUCCCGCAAAGAAGGAGGGCGGUUAGGGGGUGGAGGGUGGUCUUAGAUAGGGCAGUUGAGGAAGGGCCUUGCAAGGUGGUGACUCUGAUGACUUGGGGAAGCUGAGGAAAGGAACCGUGUUGGUAGCCAAGGGAAGAGCAACAUUCAGGAACGCAUGCAUACAUGAGGGAUUCAAUGAAUCCGGGAAGGGAUCUAUACAGUAGGGCUAUGAUACAGAUGGGCGUGAUUGAAAUAAACCGGAAGUAUUUAGGAUAAAGCCCAGUGCAGAGUAUGCCCUUAAGAAAUGCCAGGUGUCUUUGACCUCAGCAGAGUACGUAAUGAAGUCACUGUCACUUUCUGAUUCCUGACAAGUAACCUUCCCCACCCCCCUUCUCUCCCUCUGUCUACUUCAGCUCUCUUCUACUGUGCAGUCCUGGAAGUGGAAUCCCAGGCUCGUUCUAGGCAAGUGCCCACUGAGCUAUAUACCAGUCUGAGGUGGCCCUCAGAGGGUAUUCUGCAUGGUUUGUUGCUCCCAACAGUCCUGAGGAAUAGGCAAGGCAGUCCCUCUCAGUCUGUACCUCCCCUUGAAAGACCAAUGGGUCAGGCGUUUUCUAAAAGGCUAUCCCCUUCCCAGUUCACUAAUCUCCUCUCCGCUUUAUAGAUAUGCAUCACCUUUCUUAAUACUUACCUAGUAUACUUGAUCAUACCUGUUUGACAGAUGGCAGAAGUGAGCUACAACAGCAGCCAGCCCAGGGUGACCCAGCAGGCAGCUUGCUGACUUGGGCCUCGGAGACCACAGUACAGUAGGUGCUGUGGCAUGCCCAGUGAGCCUGAGUCUAUAUAUCUCCCCCACAUUCAGAUUUGGGGUGCCGUAUCAAACGGGUGGCCAUGCCUGGGAAUACCGGAGACAGAGCCCUUAGCUGGUUUGUACUUUAACUGAAGUAGACAGCUGGCUACUAAACCAGGGUCUGCUAUCCCUGAAACAGACUUGCUAGAGAGGAAGACUGCUUGGAUCCAGGAAACCAGAGGCACAUUCCAUCAGGGAAGGGCGCUGGCCUAGGACAGCCCAGAACAAGACUGAGUCAAAUGGGCAACAGAUCAGCUCAGGGAGCAUGGGAAGAAGCCAGGGUCACUCAGUGGUGUAUACUUUGGGACUGAGUAGGAGUGUACCUCAGGGCCUUGAGGAAAGUUGGCACUUGAGACAACUGGGAAAAAAAACAAAAAAAAAAAAAACAGGAUCUAGGAUAUUGCUGCUCCUGCUGGUGAAGACGCCUCUGCCACACCAUGCUUCUUGAGCUUGGAAGGAAAGCUUGCUCUAAGGGACUUCAGUCAAAGGAACUGUCUCCAUUCCAUCUUCUCUGCCUUACAGUUCCUCGGUACGGUUACAGUCUCGGUGGGGAGUCUGAGGGUGGCAUUUAGAGGCCUUCCACAAAAAUUCUAAAACAAUAAGCUAGACUCACAAAUAUGUGGUCUGUUUAGAUGUCUGGGGUUGCUUCCCCCCCCACUUUGAGCAGAACAUCCCAAGCAUCUUGAUUUGCUAAAACAUCUUGCCAGAGUAUAAAUCACUGGGACACUGGUGGGCUCAGGGCUGUCGGGGCUCACUGGAGAUGGGCCUAGUACCUUCUCCCAUGAUCCCUUCCUUGCGCUCUCCCCUUUGUCUCCUGUCUUCUAGGUCCCCGGACAUUGUUUCUACCUAAAUGUAAGGAUGAAUUAAUAGGUCAAAAAGUGUCAGAGGCUUUACAGGGAAAUUAGCCUGAAAGUGACAAGACCGAGAGAUGACCAUGUCCUUCGUGGCUCAGGAGACGAAUCCCUUUUUGUGGAUACAGAUAACGUAACACAUCCAUCCCUUCUAAGGCUCGUGCCACUGCACUCUGGGCUGAUAACUCAUCCAAUCUGUGCACUCGUUUUGAUGCAGUUCUGGGCCUCCAGAGCAGUAGGGAACUGUGGGAAAAUCUUAAGGUCGACAUUUUCCAUCUGUUCCCCCCUAUCUGUGAGUUAUGAGGGGAAAGGGCCUAGCAUCAGAAGUCUACAUCUGGGAUGGGGUAGACCUUCGCUGUUGGAUUUCCCAGUUUAAGGCUAGUCUCUGUGCGUAGUGGAUAUCACACAGAUAAAGUCGAUUUGGUUUGUUAAGUAUCAGCCAGGAGUACCUGAUAACUUCCUUUUCUAAUGAUCUAUAGCGAUCUGUUUUUCACGGCCACCUCCUAAGAGUUUCUCUGUGCUUAAGUCCCGUUGCCAUUCUUCCCCUUCAGAGCCGUCUUUCUCAUCAUGAGCUGAAUCGUGGGUCAUUUGGCUGUAGAUGCUCAUGCUGGCCCUAGCCACUAAGUCCCGUGCCUCUACCUUGUAGACACAAGUCAGACCAUGGCUCCGACUGGAUGUCAUCCUAACGGGAAGCCAGGCUCAGUGAGAUGAAGUGAUUUCGUCAAGUUCACUUGUAGAAAUAAUGGGCCUGGCUUCAUCUGACCUGAAGCCUCUGGAUCUUCAUGUGUUGACUUCCAGGGUGGUCUGUUCUUAGGUAACUGUGUCUACACUUGGCUUUUCUACACAAUUCGGGGAUAUGCUAUUCCACAGUCGACGUUUCCAUGACAUCCAGCACAGUACAGCUUAUCCAGAUCCACCCAAAUCGGCAGUGGCCCUACGGCUCAUGUUCACUUUGCAUAAUGACCUUGGGGCAGGAAGGAAGGGACCUCGUUUCUCCUGUUCAAAUGGGAACAUAGUGAUCUAGGGCACAUCUUAAACAUCCUACCUCCCGGUCUCUUGGAGGGCUUGUUACAACAAAUUGCUGGAUUCACUCCCAGAAUGGCUGAGUCAGGAAGUCUGGGUGGAGCUGGGGGGACUUGAAUUUCUUUCCACUUUCCAAGGUGGUCAGGGGCCCCCAGGCUGAGACCCACCAUUGUAACAGUAGGUGGGGCAGCAUCCAGUCUUACCCCGGUAGCUGACUACCCGACCUCGGGGAUCUCUCUAAGACUCUCAAGGCGUCAGGAGCAUCCUCAGCAAAGAAUGCAGAGUAAUGCUACCCGGUCGUGAGAAUUUACAGAAUACCACAUUUGCAAAUCUAUGCUGAACAACACAUUUUUAGCGUUUCUUUUCCGAGCACCGCAACAGCACUCUCCAUGUGCUAGGCACUGGUUUGCAAAUAUGCACAGUUCCUGUGAUAGGCCUGUGUGGUAAUCCUUUACCCGGAUUUCUUCACUCUACAGAGAUGGAGGCUAAAGCCCGAGACAGUCUAUAAAUUACCUGGGAUCACCCAGCUAGUAAGUCUGUGCAACUGAGGGAUAACCAAGGCAGUCUGGCUUCUGGUCACUACAUUCAGCCUCCCUGCAGAGUGUGGCACUGGGCUUGUCAUCAGCAAGACUUUCCCAUUCCCAUUGCCUGCAGAAGAAGAGCAAUGAAACCUUUCUAUUUCUAGUUCCUAGGCAGAUUAACCAUAAAUAACAAUGAUGCUUGUUUUAUGACCACCACUUGGGAAUCCCAUGCCUGGCCACCCCUCCAAUACCAGUCUGAUUAACCCAGAGUAGCUGCUUUCUCUUUUUACCCCUCUGGCAUUGAAAUUGCUCAAGAGGAGGGUGCUUGAAAGAGACCUGUUGGCUGUAGGAGUCCGAGAGGUGGGUUUCGGGUCAGUAAUAAAAGCAGAGCGACCUUUGUUGCUCUCCCAUGCAGAGCCUUGAGAAUCUAUCCCGCGGGUGGUAAGGAGGCUCGGCCUGAGGAAGGACAGUGAUGGACAGGGUGGGAGUGGAGCAAAUAGUUUCAGCCUGGCCGAGUAACUGAAGCUAGAAGGACAGGCAGUGAGAGCAUUCCAGCUAUGACAUGGGAAAUGGCUAUGCCCAGGGCUCUGAUUAGCUGUCGACCACAAAUCCCCUGGGACCCUGCCAGGAGUCAGGAGACUGGGGCACCUCUAGAAUGCCAAAUGGUUUGCCUUAUUUUAUUGUCAAAGAAGAAGGAGUCAGUUUUGAGCGUUAUCCCUGGAUAUGCUCACUGCCGCUGCCAGGAGCUGAAAGAUGGUUUUAGGGAUGUGGGAGGGAGAGAGAAGCUAGAAAAAAAAUCCUCUUUUCAUUCCAGGGAACAUAGAGAGAAAAACCAGUCCAUGCCACUGGGUCUUGGCACUAUCUCAAAGCUGUUUUAGUCACCACCUCCCAAGCAUCCUGCCCUUUCCUUCCCUUUCUGCAAGGUGAGGCAUCAAAGUCUCCACCUCAUGAAAGCCCUAAGUGGGGAAACGUUGACCUAGAUCCCUCACAGUUGGGGUGGCAUGGAACAAUAGGGCUCCAAGAAGAUGGCUGUCACAGAAGAGUCCCCCAUGGUUUGCUUGCUUGACUACUUUGGCCUGAAAUGGAGCCAUGAAAUGUGGAAACAUCAGCCAUGAUGACAAAUGAACCAGAUGUCAUCCCACCCUGUGGCCCCUUGGGAGGAAUGAGGUAGUACCACUUCAACCCAUUCCUCCAGCUUAAGCCUGUAGACAUGUUUCAUUGAGGAAAUGAAGGGACAGAUUGACUGUUUGAUUAGUUAUGUCUAAAAGGAGGGGAGAUGAAAAACAAGUCUGUGGAAACCCUUCAGGGAUAUUUGGCAUGUAAAAGCCCUUCUCUGAGCUUUUUUCCACGGUCCCACUGUAGAAAGAAAGUUUCUGUGAGUUUAGUGGUACUAGGAUUAGUAGUUCAGGCCUUAGGGUUAGAUGACUCAGAUGUGCAAUGGGUAGGUGAAAUGUGUGAGCGUGGACGGAUCAUUUUUUUCCAUGUAGUAAUUUUAUUAUCACCACACAAUGAGGGUAAUGUUAGUUCCUUCUAUUCUGAUCAUUAAUAAUCCCCGUGAAGUGUUAGUACAAUGAUAGACACACUAAGAGAGUGUAACAUUUUGGAGCCAGGGACAACGUUUAAAUUCAACUUCAAAGGACAGAAGACACUGAAGAAACAAUGUAAUGCAAGAUGAAGGUUUAUUUUCUCUGAACUACUCAUUUGUAGAUAGGAAGACUAGAACACAUAUGGCAGAUGCUCCAACACCCAAGCCAAUGUCGUUGUAGUACUGCCAUGCUCUGAGCUUAUUUAAGCCAUCUGAGUUGGGUUUGAAACCAUCACAUACAUUUACCAAAGGCGCAGGGAAGAAAAAGUAAAGGGGAAAGGAAGGUCAUGUAACAACAGCGUUUGAGGGAGGUAACCACAUAAUGUUCUGCUUAUUUCUUAUAAGCUUAGAGUUUGUGCUGCUUUUCCUAAGCUUCCAUCUCUGCCUUUUAAUUGGUGUAUUUAGACCAUUCACAUUUAAUGUAAUUAUUGUUAUGUGAAGUCUGUCAUUUUAGUUUUAUUUUCCGUUACUUUUUCCCCCCGUUGGUUUUCUUUUCUUUGUCUUCUUAUGGAUUACACGGACAUAUUUUAUAAUUCUUCUUUUAUUUAUUUAUUUAUUUAUAAUAUCUCAGGUUGCCUCUUUUCUGCAUAGCACUUUUAGUGGUCCUUUUAGACAUUGCAUUAUGUGGGCAUCAUAUUCUAUUGGUAGCAACAGUUCACCAGUUCAAGAGAAAGUUGGGGACUACAUUUUUCUUGAAAGUCUUUUACUCACUUCCAUUGAAUACAGUCUUAAGUACUUCCUGUAAAAACUCUAAGAACCACACCAGUUUCAUUGUUUCUGUUUCCAGUGCUAAAUGUAAUUGGGAUAAUCUAAUAAGGAGAUACAUUUACGUACAGCUGUACUCUGCCCAUUAUUCUUUCUUUUGUCUCUGUCCUAAACUUCUUGUAUUCUUUGUUUAGAGAAUUUGACUUUUUAAAUGUUGUGUCUUACUAUGACAUUCCCUUAUUUUUCAGCAUCUCAAAAUUUCUCAGUCUUUUGGCUUUAUUCUACAGGAUAUUUUGGGUUGUGUAUUUUGAACUAGCAAUUCUUUUCUCAUAGCUCCCCAAAGUAAAAUAAAAUAAUAAAAAAGAUUUAAUGUGUUGCUUCUUUCUUGGUCUCUAAUGAGAAACCUGAAGUCCUUUGAAUUAUUCCCUCUGUAGGUAGGGAAUGUGUUUCCUGCCUGCUAUUUUUAAGUUUUUUUUUUUAAUUUUCAUUUUUUUUUUUUUUACUUUUCAGAUAUUUUGUGACAUUUUCUGGCCUAGAUUUCUCUCAAUUCAUUGUAUUUCUUAUCUGUUUUCCUUUGAAUCUGUAGGGUUUUUGCCUUUUUCCACUUGUUAAUUUCCAUUGCUUUGUCUUUUCUUUCUGUUGCUUUCUCAGCCACUCCCUCAUUCAUUCUCUCUCUCCCUCUCUCCCUUUCCUUCUCCCUCUCCCUUCUCCUCCUCCCUCCCUUCCCCCCCACCUCUCUCUCUCUCUCUUGAUAUCUGUUGACAUGGAUGCUUGGCUCCCUAAGACUCUGCUCAUUUAUGUUCCUUCUAUUUUCUCUUCUUUAUUCAGUUGGGGAGGCUUAUGGUAUUCUGUCCUUAUUCCCGCUAUGAAGCCUAUUUACUGAGUCCUUAAUUUGGGCUGUAUUUUUCAGUUCUUAAAUUCCCAUUUUGGCACCCUCUUUGAAUUCUGUUUCUUUGCUAAAACUUUAGUGUUUCAGUUUAUAGCAAGCAUGAUUUUAGGGCUGGAGAGAGCUCAGCAGUGGUGAACGAUAACGCCUCUCACAGAGGAACCAGAUUCAGUUCCCGGCACUCACAUGCUAGCAAAACUACCUGUAACUCCAGUGCCAAGGGAUGUGAUGCCCUCUUCUCGCCUCCAGGGGCAUCUAUGUGCAAAAUGCAUAUAAAUUCAUAUAGACAAACACAUAAAAUAAACACACACACACACACACACACACACACACACACACAAAACCAGGAUAUGUUCCCUACUGUUCAUAGAAGUGUUUUGGCACGUCUCCUUGAAAAUCCACAUUUGAUUGCCUUUAAGACUUUUUCCUCUUGUUCACAUUAGGAUGAGUGAUUUAAUCUUUAUUAUUAUUAUUAUCAUCAUCAUAAUCCUUAUUAAAGUUGACUAUUUCUGAUAUUAUAUCAGUCUAGAUCUUCUGGAUUCUUUUGCCUUCCAACCCUGUUCUGGUCUCCACUGAUCCCUGGGGUAUUAGGACUCUGCAUUACUGAUAAAGGAGUAGGGAUUCCAGCUCGCCACUAGGUCUCAUGGGUAUUGCCUAGCCGGCGAUGGCUUGUCACACUUCCCGCAUAGCGUCUUCGUCAGGAGAAAGCCUCUUUCACUGCUGAGUAGUGCCUUCCAUCUUCCUGACUCAUCCCAGAGGUGAUGUCACUGAAAGGGAGACACCUUGUCAUCAUGCAAACCAAACUGCCUAUAUGGUCUUCAUGACAUGCGGUGUGAGGAGAUUCUGUCACUGCCUGUCAGGAGUAAGUCCUCUCCCCCACCCUGGCCUUCUGUGGUUUUACUCAGUGGGGAUUUAGGCACAUUGUCACAGGCAGGUGAGGGUAGAAGUCCGGGCUCCUUACUCAUUCUGUUUUUAUAAAAAUUGUUGUCACAUGUAUUUUUGGAGUGCUCCAAGAGUUGAGUGUAUAUUGCCAGGAGUUAUUUGUUUACUAGGCUGCCUCUUUCCCAAUUCUUUUAAUAGCAGCUACAGACUUCUCUUAUGCUUCUGUUCAUGCCUACUGCAUCUGCAGAUUGCUGGGUUGUUGUUUUUUCUUUUUUCAGCUCUUCUCUAGAGGAUAUGAUAUAGAAAGGGAGCCAAGAAACUACCAUGGCCCCACGCCCGAGUCAGCUUGCCUUCUCUCUCCUGUCAGGCUUCUGAUGCUUCUUUCAUAUAAUCCCAUGACUUUGACUGGAACUCGGUAAAACAGUUAAGCUAAAAAUCUCUGUCACCUUCCUGGAAAAGAAAGAUAGGUUUUCCAGUGUGUCACCAGGCACCCUGAUUGCUCUAGCAAGGUGGAUGAGACCCUAGACACUUUGCAUGUUUAAGUCGGCCUACUGAGUGUUGUUCAUGAGUCUACUGAAACUUGACAUUCUGCACACCAUCACUAUGAAAGUUACUACAAAUGGAGGGAAGCAGCCCACGACAGAGUGGAAGGUUGGGACAGAUCACCUUCCAAUCAUCAUAGUCAGGGAAUUUCUCUUCUUAUGGUUUUUCUUCUUCUUCUUCUGAUUCCGGUGGAACCAGGAAUGAUAUGAGUAGGAUGAGAUGAUGUCUUGCAGCCAUUGGUGAGGGGUGAGGGAAAUUAGUCAGGAUUAUUAGAUAGGCUGGCUCUCCCCCCCCCCCCGUUCAUCUAUCUUAGAAGGUGUUUGUGUUUUCAGAGGUUUCCCUUUAUCAUCCUAUUGGUUUGGGAGAGGGAAUAAGAGGUAAUGACAGCCAUUGGUUCUCUUUAGCCGUCAGAAGAACAACCUCGGCAGCUCACAGUGUUGAGCCUGACACCCCUCUCAACUAAGUUUCCUGAAGCUUCUAUGGCCUAAUAAGUUAGUAAGGUUCUGUGGUUAAAGAUGUACGAGAGACACAAAGUUAAAAAUAAAUAACUCUGCUUCUUCAGGAGAGUAUCUAUGAAUCUUUGCAGUGCUGCAUAUCAUGUGGGUCUGUACUAUUAUGAAGACUUACUAGAGCCUGAAUCCACUGGGUCGGGAGCAUGGUCCCUGCCCGGUGUCUUUAAGGGACAUCCAGUGGGAAACACAGCUGUGGACAGGGUUGGACACUUCACAACUCCUUUGAACCAAGCAGUGGCACCUCCAGUCCUCGAUGUACCUACCUUGACUUUCAAGAAGUCUGAGCAGCUUUGCGCCUGCUGCUGCCUUAGAUUCAGUGCCCCACAAAGCUAAUUUUAAAAGGAAGGGGUCUUAGAAUGCUGCCUUGAGUCAUCCCCCCACCCCACACCAAAAGCCAGAUAGCCUGAGGCUUCCCAGAGACACACACUCAUAGGGAUUGUGGAAGAUUCACCAUCUUCUGCAUACAGCCCAGCCCCCUCUGCACAUUAGCACGGAGAUCUCUGCCCAUUUAGGGAUUGUUCACGAGGAGGGAGUUGAUGUUACCUGGGACAAAGGUAUGCGUGUUUACCAGCCCGUGGAGCAUUAGAUAUGCCAGUCAGUUUGUCUUAGAUCCAAAUUGUCGGUGUCUCUGCACUGCUGCAUUAUAUGAACGUGACUCCGGCCAGAGAAAGGCUCUGAUUGCUAUCAGUUGCAGACACCGUGGUGUUUGACAGUGGUGGGAACAGCCGCGCUUUGUUUGAGUAGGAAUGCAACUUCUGAAAGCCGACUGUGUUGACUUGAACGCAUUAUCCUCUUGUGGAAGCAAUGUGUGGAUGUGCUUGGUAAAUGGACCUUUAUCUGUCUCAAAAGACCGCUGGGCUGCUCUCUCGAAUACCGUGGACGCUAGCUACCAAAAACUGCCACCGCCGUGCCUGUUGUCAUUUCUUUAAUCAGUUGCUGAGCGAGUAGGCCACUGUGACUGCCUUUACUCUUGUCACCUAAGAGCUUAUUGUUAGAAGAUUCCUUUGUGGCUGCUCAAAAGGAAGCUUCCAUUUCCCGUGAAAUGUUGUCAAGCGUCAGAACACUGUUGCUAAUGGGGAACCCUAGCGAGAAAGAGAGAUCCUGUCACCCUCUCAGCCUGGGCAUAGUCAACUCAAGUUGAUUCAGGAAGAGCCCCCAAAGCACUUAGCAAGCAGCCUGUUCCUGGCACCCGGCAUGUUCUAGGCUGAAAGAGAAAACUUAGGCCUGAACAUUAAAAAAAUAAAGUCGGGCUGGAGAGAUGGCUCAGCGGUUAAGAGCACCGAUUGCUCUUCCAGAGGUCUUGAGUUCAAAUCCCAGCAACCACAUGGUGGCUCACAACCAUCUGUAAUAAGAUCUGAUACCCUCUUCUGGUGUGUCUGAAGACAGCUACAGUGUACUUAUAUAUAAUAAAUAAAUAAAUCGUUAAAAAAAGGAAACUGAUUAAAAAAAAUAAAGUCACGUGUCCAAACAGUGUGUGACAGUCUGUUACUGAAGGUAGAAAAAUGUUAGGCUUGGGUUUUAUGAUAACCACCUCUGUACUCACAGCCAUAAAACAGGGUCUGCUGUUACACAUUAUAUAUGGGCUGUAAUAUUUGUCAAGAUCAUAGACAUUCUAUACAGGGACAUGUGAGCUAUAUGAGAGAAUUCUGUGGCUUCAGAAAGUCUCAAAGUUGGAUAUUGGGUUUGAGGUCGGCAGGAAUUAUUCUGGGAAAGAAAAAUCACAAUUACUUUGUCAGUUUUUUUUUGUUAACGUUCGCUAGAGUUCCAAGUCUGAGUAGCAGAGGAAUGGUGUUGGGGUGUUGCUUACCCUCCUCUGGGACCUAAAUGAAAUGAGGAGUGAGCAGAGACCCUGCUUUGAAGUAACUUGUCAACAUCUCCCUGUGAGCUUUGACCUGACCUUUGUCAGCAGGAGUGACAUCUCCUCCAGCUCGCCCCAGGAAGUAGAGCUGGGCUGAAGUCAGGGCAGAGAUGGCCCUGGUCUUCUACAGGUAUCUUUGGAAUGCUUUUAAUCUGAACAAGUGCCAUCUGUCCUGGGACUGUGGUCCCGAAUGGUUUACAGCAAACCAGUGCUAACGUGGGAGUGGCCCUCUUUUGAUCCUCUCUGGGAUUGGUGCGAGUAUCCUUUUAUUUUCUGAGAACGUGGCAGGUGAAGGAUGGGGGCAACCGUGGCCCCUCCCACUGCCUCCUCCAUGAAACCCAAGACUCAGGAGCUCACAAUAUCAGAGGAGGAAAUGAUAAUAUUUUAUGUCUGUGAAUAUAGCACGUAAAACAAAAAAUCAUAUAUAUUUGACUAUAGAGUAAAAGUCGUCCCCCAGUGUGGUCAUCCCCAUGAGCUGUAUCCAGAGAAUAGGCCCUACAGUGUGUCGUCAAUAGAUACCACUCACAAAAGUCAAAUCCCAUUCAGAAAUCCAUCUUUUUCCUUCCUUCCUUCCUUCCUUCCUUCCUUCCUCCCUCCCUCCCUCCCUCCCUCCCUCCCUCCCUCCCUCCCUCCCUUCUUCCUUCCCUUCUUAAGUGUUUAGAUCUUCAGCUUGUUGUGGUGCACAUAGGUGAGGAGCCUAUCAUAGUUGAAGCAGUCCCAUGCAUUGACAGAGUGUCCCCCUCCAUACUCACCAGGCAUUUGUUCUCUGAGCCACGAGGAAGGUAGCCAUUGCCUCUGUCAGCAUAAUUUUUUCUUUUGAGUGAUGACUUUACACAGUUGCAAUGUAUAAGCAGGCACUGGAGCAAAGGUCUCCAGAGUUCAACCUGGGGUUCUUUCUCCCAUGAGCUCGAGGCCUCCUUUGGCUUGCCUUGCCAGGGCUGACCUGGGACAGUGACAAACAAAAUGGCUGUGAGAACUGGGCUCCUGUUUCCCCCUAAGUUUUGCAUAUGCUGUUUCUCCAUUGCUCUUCAGACACCAUCUUGACAACUGGGUAUAUGCGUGUGAUUCCAGACCUUAGAAGGCUGAGGCAAGGAAGAUUGACAUGAAUCUAAGGUAGCCUAACCUACACGGUGCAUACCAAGCUAGCUAGGGCUGUGGCAUAUGAUCCUGUCUCAAAAGCAAAAGCAAAACUUCUCUCAGUGUCUGCUCUUAGAGUCUCCAUUCUGUGAUGAGGAAACUGAGUCAUAGAACAAGGUUGCUUGGCUUGUGCGAGGCAGGGGCAUGAUAUGAGUUCAGAGCUAGGUGCCUGAAGAGUGUCUUGUUAGCCACUUUGCCCCAUCAGCCCUCUCCUGAGCACCACUCACACUGUGAAAGGGAGAGCAUCCCCCUAGACCCCUGGCAGAACAGCCCCAGGACUUUACCUGAGCGCUGUCUUGCUCUGCUCAUGAACCUGGAAAGCCAGAAGCAAAUGGCUCUGACAUCUGACUAAAUAAAAUUCCCAAGAAAGUGACACUCAUGCCAGGUGAAUGGGCAGCCAGUGCUGACAAGGUGCCCAGAUCUUGGACACUGACCUCUCACAGAUCCUUUGGUGAUGGGAGGGCUGUCCCAGUCUCCGUUUUCCUUCUGUCUGAGCUGUUACCACAGGCUGGCUGUGAAAGCAGUUAGCUGUCUGUGGUAGUUCCACUAAGGGAGCUAGGCCAUCAGAACCCUGUUCUCACAAUGCUUCGAAGCUCGGGAGAGAGAGCUGGGGGUUGCUCCAAGAGAAAGGGAAAAGGGGAACCACCCAGGCUGGGGGGGAAGCACACUCCAGGCUGUGAUGGACUGCAAAUGAUGUGGUCAAUGGCUAUACAGCAAGAAAGCUAAGAGCAGAGCCUUGCUUAGUGGAAGGCGAACAGUGAUGGCGGCUUCCAUGUGAGCACUGACCCUGGCGUCCUUCACACUUAGCCUCUCUCCCUAGCUCCUCGCUCUAUUCCUGACCUGCCACCUGGCUUCCAAGCCCAGAGUUUUGGUCUUGUGGGAGGGUGUUUUCCUGCUCUGGAUCUCUCCGACCCAGACGUCCAGCUGCAGAGAGCUUAGGAAUCUCUCCUGGGAGACAGGAAGAGGUUGAGUUUUGUUCUCCCUAGAUGGCUGCGGAGUUCAUUUCAGUCGAUGUUUCCUGCACCUGGGGCAUGAGUUCGAUUCUCCGAUUCCCAAAGCUACGUGCAAAGCAGUCCUUUAAAUCACCGAGCCAGUGUUAGAUGCUCUUCACCGUUUGCAGAUGGUAAUGGGACUGAUCCUGGAGACAGGAGCUUUUCUUCAAGGUCACGGGGCUUUAGUAUUGACCCAGAACAGGGCCAGGCUACCUGACUGCUAAGCCAGCCCCUUCACUUCCUGAACCCCAUGGUUUCACAGGCAAAGGGGAGCUGGGGUACUUAGGAGGGAUGAUGCUAUUCCAUUCUAGGUCCAGUCAUCCCUCUGUGAGGCAUGGGUUGGGGAACACACAUGCAGCUGGAUGGGGAAGUAUUCCUCGACUCCCUUUUGAGGCUGAGACCAUUUUCUUUUCCUUAUUUAGAACUCUGUCCCAAGUGUCAUCUGCUUGUCUCUGAGUGCCUGCACAAUCUCACAGCCUUAUCCUUAUCUUAUUUUAUAUUUAACCUCAUUAGCUAUUUGCGGGCCAAGCCCGGACCAGAUCAUAAUGGCAGGCUCACAAGGAGGGGAACUCUGAUGUUUAUCUCUGCCUCGGAGUGUCUGGAAUAGUAAUUAACUUGGAGGUUCUGGAUAUGGAAUGGUGUGGGGGGGGGUUGUGUGUGUGCGAAAGUCAGAAGAAGAACGAGAAAAAAAAAAAAAAGAAACUGGUUAAUUUGCAGAUAUCUUCCUGAAGUCAGAAGCAACAAUUUGAGUGUUUGUGACUCGUUCAUACCCCCUCGUAUAUGAACAUCUGUACAUAGUUACACAUGGGCAGAUGUUGCAGCGCAAAGAGCUCAAUUUGCCGUUGAGCUGACUGAGUAACCUGGGGCAAGCUAUGGUAUCACUUAGAGCUUCUUCCUCUGCAAAACAGGGAUAAAUUGGGAUGAAACGUGGUACGCCGUUAUAGCACUUAGCACAGCCUCUGAUGUUUAAGUCAAGGCACCAACCAAGGUGGGGCUGGCCAGCAGGCUGUAGCUAGUUAGUGCUGGGCCGUGUCCUUCAUGCCCACAGAUCAGAUUCUUGGUGAGUCAGGGCUGCCUAACUUUGGUCAUUCCUGGCUCCGCAGGGAAGAGUGAGCCGGAAUUUGAUUGCUAAGGACAUUUCCCCGAGACUGGCCUAGUUCACGACCCGAUCGUAUAAACAGGUUUGAAAAGUUGGUUUACAUAAUCCGUGCUCUUGAUCUCUCCUGUCUUUUGGCACCAGACACCCUGUCCCUGUGGCAUGACUAGGAGAGUCACCCACAAAAGGGGGUACUUAGUUGUCCCUUUCAGCACCUCAUUUCUUUGAUAGCCACUAGAGGGUGCAUGGCGGGGGGGGGGGGUGUUCUCUGGGGUCUGGGUCUCUUGGUGAAAGAUUUGAACAGUUCCAAGCCCAUAAUUGCAGGACCCGAAGAAGGGCAGGGUCUGAGCGCAGAUCGGAUCAUGCAGACGACAGGGACAGAAUUUGGGAGCUGGAAUUAAUCAAGGAGACUUAGCUCAGGAAGGCGGAAAUCCCAUGGUGUAUUCUUGCAUAAGGUCAGGCUGGAUGCUUAUUGUCUAAUAAGAGCACGCACGAUUGUUUUGCCCCCAACUGAUCACUGCCUACAGAAUGCCUUUCUAUAAGCAAUCAAAUAAAAUUUGCUAGUAUCAUUUCCUCUUAAUUUAUCGUGCAAUUAGCAUGUGAUUAGAACUGCCCCAGCUGUGUUUCUUCAGGGUUGGGCAGCUAGGAGUCGUGAACUUCACCGUGAGAAAGGUGUGCCUCCCAAGUUAGCUUCCUCCUGCUACCUCCAUAGCUUCAGACAAGUUACUUCUCUGACUCCAUUUUCUCCAUUGGGUGGGGUAGGGGGUGGGACUGAUGCUACUCCUUUGCAGGGCUUCUGUGAGGGUUUGAUGUGCACUGAGCAUCAGGUCCGGAUAUAAUGUUUUUUUUUUCAACAAAUGGCAGAUGUGAUUAUUUCGAUUUUUUUUUUAAAACAUGAGAUUGUCAGUCACACACACCAUUACUUCUUAGAGAACAGCUUCCGACUCCCAGGUUAUAAUUAAAUAUGUCAGCUCUACCGCUGCCACACUUUAAAUUUUAUCCACUGCGACUCCUUGUUAAACAUUCAUUAGGCUAUUUCACAAAUACUCAUUUUACGGGAGAGCAUCAAUGCCAAAUCACAAUUAGGAACGAUCUUCAUACCACACUUAACCAAGGUCGGGGACGGUGUACGGGAGAUGACAGCGCUCCCCCAAACAACGUGCAAGGCAAAUGCUGCGCCUUCUCGGCCACUCCUAUCAUUUCAAACCAAGGUAUUGCAUUUAAUUAAUCUCCAGAAGGUUUCAUCCCGGGCUUAUUAAGGGCAUUAUUUUGCGAGAGCAAACAAACGGUCCCGUUUGCAGUGCCAAGUGUGUUUAUUCCAAAUAGUUAAUUAAAUUGUGUCAGUUCCUGCCCCAGAGCUUUCAGGCUGUUCUGGUUUCCUACCCAUGUGGACAUUUUGUCAUCAUUCAUUUUUAUUUCCUCUCCGGCCUUUUAAAGAGAGGCGCUGAGCAGCGGCCUAAGCAUGUGCUGCUGCGGGGCUGGAACAUUCCGCAAACUUAAAUUGGUUAAAUACGACUUGAGCGCUGCUCCUGGAGCUGGCUCUGCUUCUCUAGAAUCCACUAGGGCUUUUCAGCAACAAAACAGGCCUGAACAGUUCUGACCCUGAACCUGAACAACAAUGGUCCCAGAGAGCCUAGAGUCCUCCCCGCUUGGAGCCGUGUGGAAGGGGAAUGUAGCCAGGGUACUUUCUUCAGCUGAAGCACUCCCGUGACCCUGCUGAUCUAAACAGGGGUGUGUUUAUGGAGGCUCUUUCUCCGAGAAGCACCGGGGACUUCCUUUUAGCUUUCCAAGUGCUAGCCCUGAAGAAGACCGAAAGGGGAUAGAUAGGGUAAGGGAAAGACAUUUUCCUCUCACGACAGUAGGUGUGUGGUGUGAGGAAGGAGGGACACUCCGGUUCUUAGAAAUCCAAGGGCCAGGGACUCCGAAUGCUUGGGGCAGGUUCUACAAGAUCCCCUCUUCCUAAUGGCAGGAGGGUCAGCUCUCAGCCUAGCAUUGCUAAAGCUACCUUAGAGAAAAAGGUGAACGGUGUCAGAUACUCCAACAGUGUUUGAAGUCGGUGUUAGUUAAUACUAAGCCGUUAGUAAAGCUGUCUAGCAGUUGGUAACACCACACAGUGUGCAGAAUGUCAUCAAAUGGCUGCUUAGGCAACAACUCUUGUCGCAAGUCUCCUACAUACCAAGCCCUCAGCCAGCCUUCCGUGCUGGGUGCUUGCAACAUGUCUGCUGAGAGUUCUACCUUUCUGCUCACAGGUGUAUUUUGCCUUUAAUAUGGCCCUGAGCCAGGCCAUCUGAGAUGACACUCAUAAAUACAUGGCAUAGGUGGCUUCUCAAGAAGGCAUCUCCAUAGGUGAAGUUGACAGUUGGCUUCUGUGGAGCAAGUCCUCUAAGUCAGGCAUGGAGCCCAGUAGUCGUCUAUGUUUGCUGGAAGUGGAUCUCCAACGGAAAGGCAGCCCUGUCCAUUUCACAGACCAGGAGACUAAGGUCAAAGAGGCAGCUAAGGUCGCCAGCUAGUAAAUGACAGUGCCAAGAUUCUGCAACGUGGAAAGGUCGUUUAACAAAAACCAGGGCAUGAUGGUGCAUGCCUUUUAUCCCAGCUCUCAGGAGGCAGAGGCAGGUAGAUCUCUGAGAGUUUCAGCCCAGCCUGAAACUACAAAGUGAGUUCCAGGACAGCCAGAGCUGUUACACAGAGGAACCCUGGGAUUACACUUUGGUCCUCAUGCUUGUGAGUAGGGUGUGGUCAUACAUGCUUGUGAUUCCAUCACUGGUGAGGCAAAGACAGGAGAAUCCAUGGAGUUCACUGGCCAGGUAGUCUAGCCCAAGUGGUGAACCCCAGAUCCUAGGGAAAGACCUUAUGUGAGAAAACAAAGUAGACAGACAUGAGUCAUAUGUGAUUGACCUCUGGCCUUGACUUGUAUGUGUACACACACACACACACACACACCUACCAGGGCUGUGGAUUAAUGUGUGUGUGUGUGUGUGUGUGUGUGUGUGUGUGUGUGUGUGUGUGUGUGUGUGUUAAUGGCAGCUUGGUGAAUCCCUGUAACAAAGAAAGCUUGAAAGGGCUCAGGACUCUGGACCAGAGCAGUGCAGGGAGAACUGCUUUGGGAGCUGGGUUGGGUGAUGGCAGUGCAAGCCAGAGGAGCCAAGUGAUAAUCUGAGCAGGCGGGCAGCAGAGCAGAGGUGACAGCUAUGGCCAUUGGAUAGUAGGCAGCUCUGAACUUCAAGCCACUGCAAUCAAAUCAGGGAAGCAGAAGUAUCAUAGCUCUGUAGCUGAGGGAAUCCUAAGAGCAGAUAGGUUCCCUUGGGGUGGUAAGCACCCCCUUCCAAAGAGAGAAAGUGAAACCAGUCAGCAGGAUUCUGGCCCAAGCCGUGUGUCAUCGUUACUUGGCAGCGUCCACAGAUGCUGGAGAUGGAAUCUGUUUAUGAUCAAGAGCAAAUGCUCUGCACGCUGCCCGGCCUUGUACUCCGAUUCUGUUGUUAGCUGUGUGUCCUUAGAGAAAUAAUGCAACCUCUCUGUGCCUCCGUUUCCCCUGUGCUCUCAAAUGGAAAGAUUCGUCCCUUGCUAGGAUAAGUCACAAAGUAUGAGCCACUGUUCUCACAACAGUUUCUGUAAGGAAGGGACAUUACUCGAGAACCCCAAAGCUGAGAAGAGCCAGUAAUCUAAGAGCAAGAUACUUCACCUCUAUAUCGUAUUGUCCUCUGCUCCUUGGUCAUCUAAGGUCAUUAGCUCUGCUAAUAGGUGACACGGUACCCCAUGGAUGGGGCCAGACACGAAAGAUCUAAUUGGAGUUACCUUACUAGAAGCCUAGUAACGUAGGUGGGCUUCCUUUAACACAGAGAGCCUCAUUAAGCUGGGGUCUUGGGGUCUUACCUGCAGCUGUAGACUUCUUCAGCCAAUGCACAUCUGUCCCCUCUGGGCACAUCUGCGCUGCACAGACUAGAACGGACCAGGUGAGAGUCUGUUGUGUCCUUGUCCUCAGUGGACCUGGUGGGCACAGAGCAGUAAUAAACUGUACUUCCUCUCCAGUCCGGGAGACAGGAAGCUCCAAAUUGGACUCUAAUUAACUCUGAGGGAACAAUGGCUUUCUGCGGAGCCUGGCAGCUCUGGCCAGGUCUAAGAAGGUGUCACGCAGCCUUGGAAAAUAAUUACAACCAGAACGAUGCCUCCGAAGCUCGGCUCCUGAUGGUACGCCUCCAACAACUGUGUUUCUCCUUCUUCACAAGGCUCACUGCCCUUAAUCGCCACCCUGCUUCAUUAAGGGGCAAUUAAUUUUGUGACUUGGUUUUAAAAGGUGGCAGUUGUAAGGGGGAAGGACAAAAGACCCACAGUUAAACAGAAUUGGGCUGGUUAUAAAAGGAGUUUUCUCUGGAAGAUUAAAGAAGCCAAGAGGCUGCAUCCCAGGCUGGUAGUAUCUUAGCCCGUGGCUUUCCCUUUCUCCGAUCACUUGAGCUUCUGCCGUAGUAGGAUGGAGCCCAUUUCUUUCUACCCAGGUAGUAGGGUUUUGGUUUGGGGAAUGUCAUCCAGUGCUCAUCUUUCUGCCAUAGAAGUCGUCCUGAAGGCCAAGAUUAAGAUCAGAGACCUGGGCCCUUGAGAGGUUUUUGGGAUAUAGCUUCUAAAGAGACCAUCCUUCCACAGUCCCUCAGACCCCACAUGUUAGGGACACGCUGUAUCUCUCUGUCAUUCUAGAUUUAUAUAUUCCUUCUCCUGGCUUCCACUGAAUUCCCCAGCUUGGUGUUAAAUUCUCCUUGAGAUGAGAUUUGAGUGAAGGAGGGCGUCCUGCACCUUUAGGGGUUUGUAGCCCCGAGAACUGGAUGCUCAAGAAACGGGCGCCUCAGCUAGUUGUGGGAAGCGGCAAACUACGUAAUUCCUCAGGAAGGAACAGUGCAGGGUUGUGAGAGCAGAAAACGGCCACCAGAAAGGUCAAAGAAGAUGCCCUGGAAGGGGCCUCCAAACUGAGGGGAGGAGUAGAGCUCUGCUCUGAGGCCCCUGUGGGAAUUUGGGGGCAUUCUGGUCCCAGGGAAACUCCAGUGCACAGACUGCAUCAGUGGCAAGUGACACUGCCAAGCAAUAGAAAAUGGAGGUGAGGGUGCUGUGGGCGGGAACGUCAUGAGAGAGAGAGGCAAGCUCACAGUGCAAUGGGCCUCAGUGCUCCCACCCCAAAAAUCAAGACGGCAAUCCCUUUCUCGUUCUGCACCAUAGAACUCUGGUGAAGAUGAGACGCACACAAACAUGUGUGUGAUCCACACUCGAGGUUCGAUGAAUUCCUUCCACACAGUUGGCUUUUCCCCGGGAAUGGCUAUCCAAGCCUGGUACUUUACUGCUAUGGGCAGUGUGAGACCGUAGGGCCUUCUCCUCCGAGCAUUCAGUCUCCAUUAUUUAUUUAUUUUUUACCAUGUUUUUAAUUCAGUCUCAGGGUUGGGGAUUUAGCUCAGUGGUAGAGCACUUGCCUAGCAAGUGGAAGGCCCUGGGUUCGGUCCCCAGCUCUGAAAAAAAAAAGAAAAAAAAAAAGAAAAAAAAAUUCAGUCUCCCUGUUGUAAACCAGCUCUCUUACUGCCUCUCUCAUACACAUAGACACAUGCAUGCUCACACGUUCAACUGCUGACGUAGGUGGAAAUGGAGACCAUACCGCAGUAAUAUUGUGUGGGUCUGAGCAUGGACCACGGUGUCAGACUGAGUUUAUACUGUAGCCAUACAAGUUGCUAUCCACAUAACCUUGACAGAGGUUCUUAACCUCUGUAAGCCUCGGGAUAUACUAAUGCAAACUGUAUUUCCUCUGUAACAAAACACUGGAAUCUCACAUUAUUGGUGCUGGGAGGCACGGCUGACACUUCACUGGUGUUUGGAAACUGAUGUCGUGGUCGAUGAUGUCAUGCUACUACGGAAGACUCCAAAGCAAAGAGAUAGCAGCUGAGCGGCUCACAGAGGAAUGAGGACUGUGGGACAUGCUUUUCUCCUCUUUAUAACGUUCCUUUGUGUCUUUUCAGUCUCUUCCCUGGGUCAGAUGGGCUUCGUGUCCAAGUGAGAGAGGUGUCCUCAGGUAGCUUGCAGGGUGAGUUCUUCCUCCCCAACCAACUGCAGAUGUGGAUGCUGGGUAGAACUCCCUUGUAAAGGCUCCAUGCUGUUGACCCCCUCCUGCAGCCAUGUGAAGUGUGUGCACAUUGUAGGGCGGGUACAUACCUCACUUUCCUCUGGAGCCUAGACACUCAGUCUUGGUGCUAAUGAACCGCUUUCCUAUCUCUCUGUCUCGGGGCUGAAUCCAGUGGGCAGUGACCCAAUACCAUGGUGAUUUGUGGCCCUGCAGGAAGAGUGGGGAGACUGAUUGUGAAGGCAGCAAUUACUCUACCGAGGCCCCCGCCUGGCAGGGCCUUAUCUUUAUUUAUAGCUGGCUCGACCGCCCAGAGCCCAAUGUUUGCCCUUGAGUGACUAGUGCACUGCAGUUUUAGUUCAUAAAACACUGCUUGUUUAUAAUCCUUAACGGAUUCUGUUUUAUUAAAAGAGAAGGCUCUAUGCGGGGUUUAAAUAAAGUAACCAGUUACGGUUUAGUUCGGAUUCACAGUGAAUAUGCAAGGGGUGGGGACCCAUGGCAGACUAAUGCUCACUCAUGACCUGAAUUCAUUCGGGAGAAGUCCCAAGGUCCUUGAUGCUGGGGCUGAAUUGUUUCCAACGAGGGUAGUAAGUGGAGGCUGAAGUAAAUCAGUGUAGUGUAGUGUAGGACGUCAUCUGUGUUCAGUUCCAUGAUUGUGGUAGACCUAGAGCUGGUCUCCAAGGAGAGAUGGUGAGCUUGUCUCCAAGGAGCAGAGGAGGGCUUUGGGACAGGUGGAAGGAAGGAUGAGACAGAUUUGCACAGAGCGUGGAGAUUGACAGGACAUGGGGUAGAGCUGAAUCUUGAUUUGGAGUCAGAGGGGAAACACUGUUGACAUGCAUAGAGAGACAGACAGACAGACAGACAGACAAGAGAGAGAAUAAAUAUACUAAUACUAAUGAAUCCAUUGGGUCACGGCUGGAGGCACCACUGGACCACAUAAUUCCUGCUGUGUAUGAAUUUCAUUCCCCCAAUACCACCUCUCCAAGCCCUCUUUCCUCCCAGAAACAAUGUUGAGCCAUGGAAGAGAGCCCCACACUGUCCUGCCCCUAGCUGCUAUCCCCACCACCCCUUCCACCUUUGUGUAGUCCCCGAAGUCUCAGGUGGUGGCCUCUGUCGGAAAUGUUGCAGCUGGGAUGUUGAAGUCUCCACGAUGGCAGAAAGCUACAUGCCUUACCCAAGACUGGCCACAUGCUUCUGUUGCUUCUGAGUAAAUAUCCCCGGGGGAUAGGACAGCUCUCGGUUCCUGCAGCAACCUUGCAGAGGAGUCUUUUAUCGGUAGCCAAGGCAGCAGGACUCCAGGAGCUACCAGCACUGCCUCCUGCAAGCUUCCCUCCUUUCUUUCUUCCUGCAUCCGGUGGGUUCCUAUCAGGCUAUUCACAAUCAUAGAAUAGUGUGUCUUUUCCUGGGAAGAAUCUACCAGGUUUACUUGGGGGAAGAAGACCCCAGGGUUCAGGAACAUCCGCAGCAUUAGCUGUAAACAUCAAAAGAGGUAAUUGGCAUAUUUGUGGGCGCUCCUCAAGUGUGCCUGUGGCUUAAUAGCAUGAAUCAAGCACGGAGCAAACCACGGAGUCCAGACAAUGCCUCAACCAUUCUUGCCAAUGGUGCUGCAAGCCGUACCUCCAUAUAGACCUAGGAAGAUCCUACCACAGCCCCUGCCCAUCUGACAUCUUGGCAUCCUUACUGCAUAACUGGGCACGUGACCUUCUUCAUACUAUACCAUGUUGCAGGCCUGCACGCACACAAACUACCGCCCGCCUCUCUUCUCUCUUCUUUACGCCCGCCUAGCACUCUCUGUACCCACUCAGAGUUCAGCAGGCAGACUGGUCACAGCCGGAAGGUGCCAGCAUCAUUUACUACACGGGAUCUUGGCAGAUUAGCUAACCUUCCUGGGAGUACCUCCUCGCCGUUAAAUUAGGAGUUUGGGUUAGACAGUCUCAAGUCUCUUCCAGCCCUGCCAUCUUCUGACGUGAUUAAUUAAAUGUCACUUUUAAAUGUACAAAACUCGGUUCCACCCUCUUUAGAGGGGAUAUGAAGAGACAAAGAGAUGAAGCGGUCUCUGGCUUUUAUUCCCCUGUAAAUAUCAACAAGGGCAGGGUCAGCCUCGGCUCCAUUAGACUUGCCAGCAUCGUAAUCAUGGCCCUAGAGUACCUUGUUCCCCGUGCUCCUUCUCCUGGACUAAUUGCACAGCUCUGCAGCUUCCACAAGGAUAGUGAGAGCUGUCCUCAGAGCUCUCUCUUCGUGGAUAGACCUUGGUUCCAUCUCCAGCCUCCUGUGCCACUUGCCCAUCAUCAAGAACUCUUUUUAGUAUCCCCUGGACUCAUGUCCUCCAGCCAGCCUCAGUUUAAAGGCCCUGCAGAGAUCCCUCCCUCCGCUGGGAAGAACAGCCCACCUCUGGCUCUGGGCUGUAGGGAGGUGGCCACAGGCCAGCCAACCCGCUCCGUGCUGAGCAUUUGCUGCUCUUACAGUGUUUGAGCUGCGAUUAAUAUAUCAAUAUCUGCUCAGGAGGGUUUCUGGUGCAGAGCAGGUCCCUGGGACACUGGCAGAUAGAUUGGCUUCUCCCGAAGCAUUCUUCAUUUGAGCGCGGCACGGGUGAGGGGGUAGAGCUGCUGACAGGAGGCAUAGGAAAGGUUCUCCUGCUUUUCCCAGAAGAGCUUCAGCCUUGCAGUUUGGCACGAGACGAUCUUGUCACUAUCUCAACGUUGUUGCCAUCACUAACUUCUUCCUGGUGUGUUCCACUCAUUCCAGCUUUCCUGUAAUUCUUCCGUCCACGCUUGACUCCACUGGAGGCCCCAGGGGUCUGGCUAGCACUUGACGCUUGACAGAAUCGAGUUUAGUAGCUGUGGACAUGGAGCCAGGGUCAGACAGCCGGGAUGAACCCGUUCUCCCCAGCUAGCCGUGUGUAUUGGACAAGCUCUCUCACCUCCCAGGGUCUCAGAUUCCUUCCGAGACCUGAGGAUCUUGAGAAUGGAAUAGCUGAGAGGAAGAGAGAGUGUCACAUGUGCAAAAUAAUUUGCAAAGAGAAUGGCACAGAGAAUGGCAAAGAAAUGUUCAACCUGUUCGUCGUUCUUCUCAUCCAGCAAACGGUGACUCAUGGACCCUGUCGCCUACUAAGGAACUUUUUUCCCUCUAUCAUCUAUUUCUCUUUAAUUAGCUUAGCACUGGGUGCCCAAAAAAGACUGCCCGCAUCUUUAAGGUUUUAAUGGAACCAACCUACGCCAAGCACCGAGUAAGAAACCAAACACCAAGGACUUGUGUUCGGUCUUGGGAGAGGUUUGUUGAUAUAAAAUGAAAGGAGGGAAAUUCUGUUCACAGUGUCAUUGAAAAAAAAAGUCGAGCCUAGAAAAGAUCUCCAGGAAGUACUGGAGGGCCCGGGUCCUCAGGAGACAGUAGCUCUCCCCUGUGACAACUUGGAGGACUGUGUCGCUGAGAAGCAGCCCAUCGGUCAUUCUUUCUGAUGGAGAACACAGUUCUGCUAAGUAGCAUCACUGAAGCAGUUUCUCCACGCGCGUGCCAAAUACUGUAAUAGUUUAGAUACCCAGAAUCCACCACGUUCCUGGGUGUGUUGUGUAAAUGAGCAUUGGAGAGCAAGAAUAGAAGCUGGGGCCAGGACCCACAGUUCUGUAGGACAAGCUGAGUCAUGGAGGUUGGAACAGAGUACCCCCAGUCCGUGGGAACUUACUGUGUGCUGAGCUGAUGUGAACUGUGUGUGUGUGUGUGUGUGUGUGUGUGUAAUGUGUGUGUGUAAUGUGUGUGUGUAAUUGGCACAGCAAUGCACACCCACCCUAGACAGGAUUCUGGUACAGGUGAUACCAUGUGAUGUAGAGCCUUGGACAGAGAGGCUCCAUGCGUGUAGAAGAGAAGGAAGCCAGGCAAUGCUGUUGCUGAUCCUGCAUUCCCUGGGCGACAGUGUGAACCACCUGGGAUCUGGCCUCACUUCAGACAAUUGGCCUGGGCUUUUUGUAUCUAUCAAUCAUUCUCUAUGGGCCUGUAAUCUCACCUCUUGGGAGAGGCUCGGGGCCUGACUUUCGGUGUGUAUCUGGCUGUGCUUCAGCAGCUAGACCUCACAGAAGGUAGGGGAUAACUCUUUAUUGACCUUGUACAGAGGGGCUCUUUGCAUCUGCUACUGACAUCACAAUGCAGAGCCCAUUUUCAGGGGAGAAAACUGAAGCCUAGAGUGUUUACAUCAUUGGCCUACGGGUUCCUGGGUUGGGGGAAUCACACUUAAGCAUCUAUCCUCAAAGACUCUCCUUGUCCUCUGCCCUCUGUUAAAUCAAGGUUGGAUUUAGGGCUGUUAUUGUGCCACCCUCCUGCCGUGUCAAGGAUAAUCUCAGUUCUGACGCUGAAUUUCCUGAGACUUGGGAGGCCCCUUAGUGUGGACAAAGGAGGGCAGUUGGUGGGUGGGAGCAAAAGACAAUCAGUGUGACACCAGCCAGUGUGACCUGGUAAGGCAGUUCAAGGGAAGCAGAGCUGUGAUACUCUCUGUUCUAGAAGCUGCGUUCCCUUCAGCCAGUGACUGCUUAGGGGAUGUGGGUAAGGGGGACGGAGCCAGGAAAAGCCCAGGCAGGAGAGCAUCCUGUAAGGGCUGAGCAGGCAGGGUGGUCUGAGAUCCAGGGUGGGCACAGAGAGGCAAGGCUUGUUUGGAUGGCUGAUCCGAGGAGGCGAGUAAGUUACCAGCCCCCUGAGGCCUCCUCAGGGAGCUUGCCAGAAAUAGAUACCCUUCUCCUGCCUCCCGCUUUGAAGCAAGCUGUUUUGCUAUGUGUGCCUGUGAGUGGGAGGGUGUGAGGGGAGGGGGAGGGGUGCGGAGUGAUUAAGAGAGAGGAGAGGAAGGAAGUCGGUGCUGAUCCAAUGAGAAAAUGUCCUUUCGAGUUCCUGCUGCAGCCAUAGGCCACUGGCCUGCAGAAGACCUGCUAGUCUGAACCCAGGUCUACUCAAGGUUCUACUACAGAAUCAUGCCCAGUGGCGAAACUUUCUGGUCAGGAUUCAAAUGAAUGGCACCAGCUGAAGUCCAGAGGCCUCAGAGCAAAAGAGGGUGCCAGGUACCAGGACUGAGCCUUGAGCUUAAUGGCACAACUCUUUUAUAUGUACACACACCCAUGUUUUCGAGUGUGUGUGUGUGUGUGUGUGUGUGUGUGUGUGUGUGUAAACACACAUCACCUCUUUCUAGGCAGAAUAAUUGGCAUAUUUUCCCUGUCCUAGACCCCAGGAUUGGCUUUUUAGGAAUUGAGAGGAUGGCCAAGCCAUGGUUACCAUGGUUUCAUUGUAAGAGGGUUAAGUUAGCAGCUAGCCCUGUAGCAUCGGUACCAAGUGCUUUAGUCUGACUGCCAAGUGAAUUAUCAUCACCUGAUAUUCCAAGUCUAAGGAUGGCCAAGGCAGCAUCCAAGGUCACGGGGCUGUUUAUAUUCAAAUGCUAGCCAGCUCUUCUCUAGUCAGAUGCCUUGGUGGCAUUGGGCCUGUGUAGGGGUAGCCAGGGCUGGGUGUAGAAUUUGGAGAGUACCUUGGGAAACGCCUGCCCCUUUUGAUCAUGGAAGGCAACAGCCCAUGAUCCUUUUGUGUAAGAGAUCCGUGGCCACCACUGAGGUCACCCUCCAAGGUUCCAUGCUAAUUGUCUGUCACCUUCUCAGCUUAGGGAGCCUGCUGUGAGGCCUGUUUUCAGAGAGGAGGGGAGGUGUUCUGCUUCUAGACAGACUGGGUUUUGACUUUGGUGCUGUCUUCAUUCCCUAAGCCACAUUCGAUCAGAAGGAUGAGAGUCAACUUCUUUCCGGGUUUCCGUUCUUGCUUUUAUCAUCCAUAAGUGAGGGUUUCAGGAGACUGUCCCUGGGGUGAUCAGUGCUGAGAAAGAGGAGUUUGUCUUUCUCAUGUGAGGUAUACUAAAAGCAGGACAGAAGGUGACAGCUCUUCUCAUGACCCAAAGGCUGUUGCCUAAAAGGCUCUUCCUCAGCUCCAGUGUGGAUGGAUUUAGACCUGCCUCUUAUCGCCCUGGUUGUGAGAGGAAAGGAGAGGGAGAAAACACAGAAUACCAAGGCUGCCACCAAGCUUAGCUUUUAGAGGUCAUCCAUUGGAAUCAUUUUCCAGGUGUGCAUGUGUGUGCAUGCAUGUGUACAUGUGUGUCUGUGCAUAGGACAUGACAUCCACACCAGGGUUCUUGCAUUGGUGCUAGAGAUCCGAACUAAGAUACUGUUCUAGUAAAACAGCGUUCUUACCACUGAUCCAUUUCCCCAGCAUCAAUUUCUGUAUUUUUAAAAAUUCUCAACAUCUCAUGAUGUGAAAUGUGAACACUUUGUAGCAUGAUUAGGAAAGAAAGAUGUACACACACACACACACACACACACACACACACACACACGUACAUAACCUCACAGAAAACUUCAUGAAGUCACACCAUCAGUACUUGUGAUUGGAGAGUGAUUAUUAUUUCUAUGUGUCUAGUUGUUUCUGUGGCAUUUCAUGUCUUGGGAUUAUUAUUGGUCAUGAAAGUUGUGGAGCUGUUCUCCUGGAUCUAAGAAGAAGGGACGUCUACAGGUUAAGGAAAUAUCGACCCAGUCCACCAUUACUUGCAGGGGAGGAAACAGACAUGUGGUGAAGGGAGACAAACUUACUACCAUCACCAAGCAGAGCACAUGUGUGGUUAUCACUCACAGGGAUAGCCUUGACUGCAUAUACAGCAGCGGUCAAAACAAGCAUGGGCCCUGCCUCACGAGGUAUAGAGGUGGUGGGCACAGUAGACCUUAAGCAAACUUAGACACACAAUUAUGCAAAGUACAAGGAAUAAGCAUGAGCUCUAGUAGAGAGAGGACUGGAUGGGUGGGGACACGUCUUACGGGUCACCAGGAAAAGAAUUCCUGAGGAUUUCAGUCAGGCCCAGUGGAGAGAGUGAGAGGGGUGGAAAGGGAUUUGUGAGAGUAGGAGAUGGGAGAACGGUGUGCAUUAAAGCCUUAGGUCGCUCAAAGACAAAGUGAACAUGGAGAAAGCCAGGAGUGUACUGGGGAGGGGUGCUGGGGGGUUGCAGCGACACUGUGGAGCCCACUCCUUCUAGGUGUCUGGACUUUGUCUUGGUUGGUGGUAGCCACUGAGAAGACUUAAAGCAAGUGUCAUGGUCAGUGUUCACUGUCAACUUAGCUGUCUAGAAUCACCAGAGGAGAGAGUCUCCAUGAGGGACGUCUACACUAGGUUGGCAUGUCUGAGGGAGGUUCUCUUGAUUACAUUCAUGAAUACAGAAAGACACAUCUCAUUGUGGGCUGUAGCAUUUCCUAGGUGAGAGGUCCUGAAAUGUCUUAGAAUGGAGACGAGGAACUCCUAAUGAACAUUUUUUUUUUUUUUUUUUUUGCUGCUUCAUUGAUCGUUGAUACCGUGUGACUAAGUGGUUGAAGUUCUCACCCCCUUGGCUUUCCCUGCAUGAUGGCCUGUCACUUGGAACUGUAAGCCAAAUAAACCCUUCCUCCAUCAAGGCCUUUGUCACACAAACAGGAGUCAAACUAAGACAGCAGGCAUGUGACGUGAGCCAAUAGGUUGCUCUAGAUUGUGCUGACCUUCAAUGAGAGACAAAUAGCACACGUUCUCACUUCUGUGGAAUCUCCACAAGUUAGUCUCUUGGUAUUAGAGGCUGAAAGAGGAGUGGGGGUUAUCAAUGCUGCUGGAGGGUUUGGUCAGAGGGUACUAAGUUAGAUCAGAGCAAAGUGAACACGUGUGAUUUUGCGUGGUCCGUAACUGCAGGUAACAAUAGCUUAUUGUACAUUUCAAACAGUCACAAGAAAGAACUGAUAGAUAUUUGUAGAGGUAUGUUACCCAGAAUUCAACAGUACACAAUAAACACUUGGAUCGAACAUCUCACCAGUGUACUGUAAAUACACAUAACUUGUAUGUGGCCAUUUUUAGAAAAUAGUAAUAAAAGCUCUUUUAAAACUACAAUAAAAGAAAGAAACAAAUCCGUAAAUAAGAUAAAAUGUGGAACGAUCUUUGUUGCUAAUGUUAAUCUUUAAGGAAAAAAAUACCUUUACCAAUGUUUAAAAUUUUAAAUAAAAUACCCGUUGGCUUCCGAGACCACAUGGAGGAGGAGUAGGCGGGGCUCCGUGUGUCAGGAUGCUCAUCCUUGGACCAGCUGGUCCUUGUGUUACAGCUUCUAGAGGGAGGCUAUCUGCCUGCGUGGUGGCCCAGAGCUCUGCACGUUUAGAACGGCUGCAUUAUUAAUGAAAUGUUUGCAUCUUAGGAAAUGAUAAAACAGGCUGCUACAUGUAAAAAUUAAGUAACUCAAUUUGUUUUAACAGCUUGUGCUCCGGUACAGCAAUUUGUUUUGGCAUAUACACAGAACUCCAUCAGAACAGUAAUUAUGCCAUGCUAAUCAUUUUACAGCCUUGUGUACAUCUGACAUUUAAUUACGGGAAAGUAUGCGAGGGGAGGUUUCCUUCCUCCCUCUCCCUGCCUGACAGGUAGUUUUGUUUGCUGUACCGUCUUUGCACCUACAUUGUCCCCGUGCCAACUUGUCAUCUGCGAUGGAAUCGUGUUUCCAUGACAGCUGUGCUCAGCCAUGUUGCCUGCAAGUUUCAGGCAAUCACCAAAAUAAACAGUUGGCACAGAUGUUAUUCUUAGCCUCCUCAUCCCGCAGCCCCCCCUCCCCCGAUCUAGUGCCCACGACAAGGAUUUUCUUUUAUCUUUCUUUCCCUUGGAGAAGGACAGUAAUCCCUGCCAAGCCUGAGCAUCCUCUGGUUCAUCAACGUAUCUCUUGGUGGUUUCCCCUGUCACCUCUGCCCUUCUCCAUGAAGAUGGCUCGCACACCCGCUUGCAUGUCUGUCUGUAUGGAAGACACAGCUCAGAGGCUAUGGGCAAUGAACCAGAAGCUGCUAGGUUGUUUCCCAAGGAGGGAGCAAACGUGGACUCACCACUCAAGACUAUACCAGCUUAGCCCAAGGCUGAAGCAGCCUUUCACCAGGUACACUGACAAGAACCCCAGAGCUAGAAUAAGAGGAGGGAAAACAGGACAGGAAACCCGGGUGCCGCUUACUGGCCACCUGGACUGGUGGUAUAACAAGGUUUCUACAAAUGGGAAAAGGUUGUGUGGGUCUAGCUGUUGGAAGGAGGUAAUUAAAAUGAGAAAGGAAGGCUGGAGAGGUGGCUCAAUGGUUAGGAGCACUGUCUACUCUUGCAGAGAACCUGGGUUCUGUUCCUAGCAUCCACAUGGCAACUCACAACCCUAUGUGACUCCUGUUUCAGGGGAACUGACACCCUCUUCUGGCAUCUGUUGGCACAGCAUACACGCAUGCAGGUAAAGCAGUCAUACAUAUAAAAUAAAAACAAAUCUUAAAAAAAUAAGAGAGAGAAAGAGAGAGAGAAGAGAGAGAGAGCGAGAGAGAGCGCACAUACCCAUGCAAGCAGAGUAAGGGAUGAGGAAAUGGCUUUAGAAUGAAAACUACCAGAAUUGAGAAGUAAAACUUCAGUGCAAAUAAAAAAAGGGGGGGGCUUGUCCCAGGACUCUGGGACAUACAGCAGCUGCUCCUGGAAGCAUCCACACCACUCCGUUCCAGGUUUAAAAGUACAGAGAUUAGCAAUGGGGAACCUUCCCAGGGCUAACGCCAGAGGCAUUCUUUCUUCUCCGUGUUCAUCGUAUUCCCUUCUGUGCUUGGUGUUAGCCAAGAAACUUGGUGCACCAUGGGGAAAUAAAGAAAAGACACUAAAGACCUUCAGCUUGGUACAGAGCGUGCACUCCAAGCAGUCCUGGUUCCCACUCAGGUCAGACCAUCUUAGAUUCGUAUCUUUUCAUUUUGGGUUUGGCUGGUCCAGACCUAAGGAAGCUGCAGGCCCUUGGGACAGGAAUUUGCAGAAGUCAGCGUUCCCCAUGAGAACUAGGCAGACCUCUCUUUGCUCAAGAGACGGUUUUUGAUGGCCCAGGGGCCAUUGGGAAAAAAAAUGUUAACCAUUGUGUAUUGGUUUUAAUGCGCAUGAAAUAUGUCUGAGCUGUGCCUCAAACCCGCGUUUUAAUGGCUGUAAUAAAGUUUCUUGUGUAAAUGCAGGUUUGGCAAGCCUCCUUCUGCCUCUCUUCCCAUUAUAAAUGUGCUCAGAACUCACUCAGGCACCCCCAGGACUCGGACUUGGCUGCCUCUGUUGCUGUUGUCUUCACCACUACUUCUGCUUCCUUCCCCCGGUUAUCAACUCCCGACAUUCCUUGGGGCCUACUGUGGCAGAGCUUGUACCAAGCAGCCCCAGGAGUGCAGUGGAAGUGUGUUGGAGAUUCGAGCCUCUGUGGUGUAGAAAGUCGAGGGGAACCGAGUUAUGGGUGAUUUGAAGGUGGCUAAGCCUCUGUCAAACAAGGAGUGGCAUCGUGAGCAACACAGAUGGUGACCUCUGGUUGUACUCUCUCUAAGUGGGGGGGGGGGAAGGAUAUAUUUAAAGUCUUAAAGUUGGUGGACUUUCGGGAAUGGGACCUGGAACAUAGUUAAUGGAAUGAAGAAACGAAGGUAGAGAUAAAAGGGAAUGACUUAAGGCUAAACAGAAAGGGAGCUGCGGCUGCAACUCUGGCAGGCCCCAUUUAGAGCUCAGCAUUCAGCAGGCCUAAGGUGGCCUGAGAGUUGACAUUCCCAAGUUCCCAGAUGAUUCUGCCGCAAGCCGCCUGCCACUUGGUCUGGGAGACCCCUGCUUGGUCAGCCUCUGUGCUAAUGAGCUGCCAACGUGCAAUUUACAGCCAGCAGUCUGGUAACAGAUUUUCCUAAAUUAUGCGAUUUUAAUUUAUCCUUCCCUGUGUGUUCUUUAACAGCUAAAUAACAGAGUAACAGAUAAUCAAUAUGGAGAAAGGGCCAGGAAAGCUGCAGGAGUCAGUCAGUCAGUCAGUCAGUCGGUGGCCCUGUUGUUCCAAAGCCAGAGAAGCUUUGUUCUUGUCCCUGGUUAGAUCUCAGAGAGGAUGGGCUGGGAGUGUCCACAGAUACACCACCCUUCCCUAGGGAUGGUAACCACACAAGCUGAUCUACAGACCCAGAAUCCGAAGCGCUCCAACCACGGACACUUUGAACACCAAUGGGCCUCUGUAAGUGGAGAAUUCCACCCUAUGGAAACUUCUUCCACACACAAAAUUAUUAAAAAAAAAACGUCGUACAAAAUUCCUGUCAGGUUAAUUUGAUAAUAAACAUACAUGCGUAGGAAAUAAAAAUGAAGUCCCAGCUUAGACUUAGGCCCUCGUCCCCAAGGUAUCUCAUUAUGUAUAAACAUAUAUUCCUAAAGAAACUGAGAUCUGAAACGCUCCGGUCAUACAACUCAGAUGAGGCUGAUUAACCUGGUCCAGGGCUUCAGCGAACCUUCCUGGCUCAUGAUUUCACUAUCCACGUAAUUUGUUCCGUCAAAUGUAUACGGCGGUGUUGUCUCUAUUUCCUCUUACUUUUGUAGCAUCGCACCACAUGUAUCUCUCUACACUUGCAUCUGUCACCGUUAUGUCGCUCUCGAUCUCUGCGAAGUUCAUUUAGCUGAUUUUGGCUCUAAAGUAUGCUAUAAUCAUAUAUAAGGAAGCACGCCUCCCCCCUCACAUUGAGGUGACCUUCCAUAGAACCACCAAGGCUUUGAUAGUGUUGGUCACAGCAGUUGGGUACCAUUCAGAGCUGCUGCAUGCAUAGACGAGGAGAGUCAUCCAUGUAGAAAACAUUUGUCUGGUUGGCCCCAGCACUGUUUCGGAUGUUUGAAUAACUAGGUAUUCAGCAAGUAUCAGACGAUGCUGCCUCUCCUUUCCUCCUUCAUGGUACCUAUUCAUAAGAC